UCUCACCGCAGGCCUCAAAUCAUUUUUCUCCAUGAUACCAGUCCGAGAUAUGGUCCCCAAGGGUGCUGCUGCAGCAUAUCCUCUCCUGUCCAUUUAAGAAAUUAUUAAUUAUUCUUAUUAAAAGAAAAAAAGAAAGAAAGAAAGAAAGAAAGAAAGAAAGAAAUCAUUAAUCAUAAGUGAAAGAAAUGAGAAUUAUAUAACAAAGAAAAAGAUUACUUUAAAGAGUUUUUAUAAUUCACAUGGUGAAACAGAAUCAUAUGAUCUAGCUAGCUUGUGCAAACCGAGGUGUUACUAAAAGCGCUAAUAAUCAAUCUGCAAAUGCUUUAGGUUAUUGAAUUAAUGCGUCUCAAGAAUGCGUUUAAAACAAAAUUAAGCGAUUUCGCCUUUCCAAAGUAUUUGCGGAGGAACAAAUAUACAAGGUCCUGUAUAAUAUUAAGGAAAGAUAAGGGUGCAAAAUAAUAUUUAGCCCAAUUAAGACCGUCCCAAUGUUAGUUUACUUUUUGGCCCCUCGUAUUCAUGAUUUUUAUGUUCUAACCCUCGAUGAAUCCGAUCAUUUUAAAAAAAUUUAUUUUUCACAUACGAAAGUCGAUCAAAAUCACAUGGCGAGUUUACAGAAAGGCUACGUUUGUUUUUUUUUUUUCGAAUUCGUUUGUUUGUUAAGUUAAGAAGGAAAAAAAAAAAAAGAAAAACAUUUGGGAGAUGACUUGAUCUCUUCUAAAAUGUCACUAGAAAUGUUUAGAUUGAUCAAGAAACAAAUAUAAACAGCUAAGGAUUCAAUGAUGAUGAGAUCAAGCGACACAACGUAGAACAAGAAACAAGAUAAAAUUAUCAUUUCAAAGAAGACCCAAAGAGAGAGAGAGAGAGAAAAAAAAGAGUUCUGUAAACAGACCUGCUAAUGGAGAGCGAGAUGCCAUCAGCAACAGGAGCAAGAAGAAGCUUAGCUUUGAAGAGAGAGCGGGCCAUUGUUUUAUUUACUUAUAGAACUUAAUAGAUAUGAAGAUAGCUAGCUGGGAUGUUUCUGUACAGUGCUACUACAGAAGAAGAAAGAUUCUGCUCCUGCAGUAGCUAUAGGCAAAAGCUAGCGGCUCGCUCUCUUUGUGCUGUGCUUGUGAGGAAGAAGGCUUUAGGGUUUUCUGUUAUUUAUAAAGAGAAAGGAGAAACUGUGAGGAGGCGACUUGUUGGAUUUGGGUUGGGCCGUUCUUUCAGAAGACAAAAGAUCUUGUCUGAGUAAUCUGACACGUCUUCUUAGGAGUUGAUGAUUCAUCGAAUCCUGACACAAUGUUAUUAUUAUUAUAGUACUGAUAUCUGAUCCAAGAUAAUUUUCAGGGCCACUAAUGUCGUUAUUUAAUAAUCAUCUUGAAACUUAUCUCUUUGGUCUGAUUAUCGGGUUCGGGUCAUAGACAAAGAAAAAUCAAACUUAACCCGAAAAUAUCUUUUCCUAAUUUCAAAAUUCUUUCUCUUGUUAUCUUUUAUGCAAAAUAAAUAUAUAACGUAACUGUUUUGAGAAGUAUUCAUGCGAUUAAUUUGAUACGUUCGUUUUAUUCUAAAAUAUUUCCUCAAACAGUUUAUUUCUUUAUUUUUUUAAAAUUAUUGGAAGGGUUGAGUUGGUGUUGAAUAUUCCUUUGAAAGGAAGAAAAUUUCGAGAAAUAUUAAUGAUUGUUUAAAAAAAAAAAAGAUUAAAUGUUGAAUAAAUUCUGAUUUCCCUCUAUUUUAAGAAUUAUUUUAAUAGUGAAAAGUGAAGACGCACACACCACAUUGAAUAUAGUAUAAGCUAUCAUAUAAAAGGAUGCGGUUAAUUUAGAGUUAUUCUCAAUAAUUUAUGAGUAUUUGAUAAUUAAAUUACAAUUGAAUUAUUGAGCACAAUUUUUAUAUAGACAUUAAUUAUAUUGUUAUACAAAUUAAUAAAUUCUUUAACCAAUGACCACAAAAAAUUACUGUAGUUUAAAUAGUAACUCUAAUUUUAUUUUAAUAGUAUCUUCUUAAUAUUUAAAUAUAAGUGCUCUAUUUUAUCAAAUAUAUGGAGAGACACAGAGAGUCGUAAGAGAAUUGUUGCCGCCGGAACUAAAGUUUGUGGCUCGUCGGUAGACCGAAGCGUAUGAAAUAACAACCGUCCACGUUUGCAUGAAGCUUUUGAUGAACAUAUAUAUAUUUUGUAUGGGGCGGUCUUGAAUCGCGAUGACGGGUGUUAAUCUCGACGCAAUGAUGAUUCAUAAUGGCCCGCAAGGGCCAUGAUCAGUGGGCGGCCUCCCUUGGAACUUCAAAAAAGUUUCUACUUUCUUGCACUAAACGUCUCUCUUAAUUAUGAGGCUUAACAAUUGGCAACCAUCGUAAGUCGUAACCUCUACGUGUCUCUUGGUUCAUGGAUGCCCACAUAUGAAGUCGGCCAUUAUCAUCAUCAUCGUCAUCAUCAACCAAGCAGUACUUCUUUACCAAUUACCAUUGCGUUAAUGCGAUCCGAGUGUGUAAACACUAAUUCGGAAGCUUCAAUUCAGUCUUAUAUUCCCGUUGAAUUGAUGAAUAUGCCUAGUUGUUCAAUACAAAUGGGAAACACCAGCUUAAACUAAAUAUUUGUUAUUAUUCAUCAAAUAACAAAAGAGCUCGCAGUGGCAUUUUUUUUUUUGUGGGGGGGGGGGGGGGGUGUUGUUUAAUACUUCUUAUAAUGCUUUAUCAGUUUAUCUGAUACAUGAUUAGUUAAGGACUGGGGCAUGGAUUGGAAUCCUACAGGUUUCAGCAGGAUGCCAAGAAAAGUGUUUCCGACGAUGGUUAAAGGGGAGAACAAAUCACCGGCCGAUGGCGGGUUGCUGUUGCGGGUGGCCAGCGGGGUUUUGAGGACUAAGCAGCAGUCGUUGAGUAGUGAAGAGACCACAAUUUGCACAGGAUCCAGCACUAUUGAAAAUGACCCUGACUCACUUGUUACUGCAGUUGAAUUAACAUUUCCACCGCACUGCAAUUGCACCUUUGCAUCUGAAAAAGAAUGAAAUAUUUGUAGCAUUUUCAUAAUAAAUUGAUUUCUUUUGUUGCAAUUGCAAACAUCAUUUUGGUAGUACCAAUACUAAGGAGGAUAAGUGGCAGAGCAGAACCUAUAACUAUUUUGCUUAGGCGGGGGAAAUAAUAUCGAAACAACAAAACUAAGAGGGUCGUAAUAGAAAAAUAUAAAAUCAAGGGAGCCAAAGUAAAAUUUACAUGAAUGAAAGGGGUAAGUAAAUGAUGCUUAGGAAUUGCUGCUUGCUCUAACGUACUUGGAAAAACAGGGGUUGCUUGUCCCAGGUCACCAAUGUUUCCAUUGACAGUGCAAUACAGAGUGCCUUCAAUAUGGAUUAAGCCAAGAAGGGUGCCUAUAACCCCACCUUGUGCAUCAGCCGUAAGUGUUGCCAUUGCAGCUACCAAGAUGACAGCAUAGACAAGUGAUUUCAAACCCACGGCUUCAACAUACGAUUGAUCGAUAGUGAUGGGCAAAUUUAAUAUAAAAUUGUGAGGAAGAUAUUAAGAGGUGACAAAUGCUUGCGUUGGUGUGCCGUGUGUGCGCCAUCUGCGUGACCUAUGAUCAGUGGCCUACUAAACGCCAUUUUAAAAUAUAUUAAGAGGCUUAGCCAGCAAAGGCAAACUCGUGUCAUCCGGUUAAUGUGGUCCGAGUCAUCUGCUUUCAUGAAACUGCUUUUGGUGGAUGUUUGGGACUUCCCAAACACACUCUUGAGUUGAGCACCGUAUAAGGCUGUGAUUGGUGUGUAUUGAAUUGAAAAAUGUAAUAUAUAAUUAAAUUUCAGUUACACACAAUUAUAAGCUCAAACUCAUUGAAACAAGAGACUUCAUCAAGACAAAAAGUCAAAACCUUCGACAGCUAGAGAAAGUAAUGCAAGUCGCUGCACACUGUUGCCCUAUUAUGAACGAAUGGGUUCGAAUUUUCUAAGUGGGUAGAUCUCGUAGUUCUUGCUUUCAUUUGAGUUACGGUCGUUAGAAUCUUGAACUAUACAUAUGCUAUAAUUAUACUGAUUUAGAAUUUUGACAAACCCCUUAUUUAUAUGCUAUAAUUAUAUGCUAUAAGAAAGUUAUUACAGCACAAUGGCAACAACUAGUUGGGAAAUCAAAGUACUAUGUACGUAAUAAUUAUAGGUCAUAUGGUGGACCUUAUUUAUAAUAUAAAAGAGCAGUGGCUUUAUUCUUCUAAAGCUUCAUCGAAGUUCAUGGGAUGAAUUGGAAUCCUGCGGGAAUGGUGUUAGCAUUGAACUGUAAAGAUGAAACCAAACCACCCGCAGCCGGCGGCUUAGCAUUGCAGCUGGCGAGCGGCGUGUUGACCACUAAGCUGCAGUUGGUCAGCAGUGAAGAGAGCACAUAAUUGUAGAGGAUCAAGCACUAUUGAAAAUAUUUCUGAUGCAUUAGUUGUUGCACUCGAAACAACUUUUCCAUUCCACUGCAAUUGCACCAAAGCAUCUGAAAGUGAAAACGUCAUUGUGUUAUUAGCAAUAUAAAUACUAAAGGAACCAGGAUAUGUUUGAAUUUUGUUUAUCUUUUAGUGAAUUUAGCUUUCUUUCUGUAUUUUAAAAAUUAAACAGCGACCGAAACAAAACAUUUAUGAAUUUUGGGCAUCAACUUACUGGGAAAAGCCGGGGUUGCUGUGCCAUUGACGCCCAUGUUGCCAUUGGCAGUGCAAAAAACAGUCCCUUGAAUACGGAUUAGACCAAGAAUGCCACCUAUUAGCCCAAAUUGGGCUUCAGCUAUGGGAGCCGUCACUGUAGCAAGCAUGAUGGAAACAAAGAGAAAUGAUUUCAAGGCCACGGUGAGCUCAAAGACCAGUGUAUGUCUAAUUUGUGAACAGACUUGCUGCAGAGGUAACCUAUUUAUAGCAGAUGGGGAAGGCAAGUUGCAGCAGAUUAAUAAGGCUUGUUUGGACAGACUCCACUCAUUAGAUGGCUUACUAAAUUUAGAAAAACAAUAAUCUUCUCGUCUUGAGAGUUGAGUUAUUGAUAUGAAGGUCUGAUUUUGUCAUGAAGCUAGAUCUGACCAGUGACCUUGCAUGCGUGCCAGCUUUGUGGGGGUUAACCUACAAGGCUGAACUAACUGAGAGCCUUAUAAUUCAUCCUUAUAAUUCAAUCUUAUAAGAAUUAUGAUUCUCCCGUGAUCUGAGCUUUCUUGGAUUUUUAAAUAUCGAGUGAUAAUAUUAUCUAUUAGUGAUAAUAUAUGGUUAAAAGUAAACUACUCUCUUGUAUUUUUAUCUAUAAACCAUUAAACAAUCAGCCAUGUGAAUUUUACUCGGGCAAAACUCAGAUUAUGAUGGAACCUUUGAUCUAUAUGAAAAGUUAUUUUGCCCUAUACUGGCUGUGUGAACUCCCCCAUGCGGUGCCAUUUUUGUACCUAUAUGAAAUUUGGUUUUAUUUCAAAAAGACUUUGAUCUUCCGUGUUUGACAUAGUCUUAUCAUUAGUAUGGUCCAUAGCUAGAGACCAUUUGCAAGCCUUUUUAUCAACGACUCCUUCCACUUGCUACAGAAACUGGCUUCAGCUUCCGGGCAUUUAAGGAUGUGAUAUGCACAAAGCGCCAUUAUGUAUAGCUGCCUAAGAGGUUGAUAUACAAUUGACCACUUUCAGCAGUAGAACGAAAGUAUACAUUAAAAUUAAUUAGUCCAUAUGCUAAAAAACUUCGGAUCUUUAUGACCCAAAAAUGUAGAUGCUACAUGCUAGUUGAUUCGAAUCUUUGGAUAUUGUACAAGAGACUUGGGGUGAAUUCGCACACAAAAUAGGGAGAUCGCAUUUCCCGACUCUUCUGUCAAGAGUUUACCCAGCUCGUCUUUUUAGGUUUCAGCAAGUAGUCGUGAUAAAUCAGGGAAGAUGUGGUAAUUCACUGACAACAAAAACUAAUUCCCCACGCCAAAUUUAUUCUGGUUUUGUCAUGAGCUACAUUCUUCUGGACAAGCGAAAUUGGCAAGUGCGCGAAUCAAAUGAACCAAGUCCAACAUGAGUAAUACUGUCCUUAGUCGUGAUAAAGCAAUAAAUUUGGCAUGAAACGGGCAAUACAUGGCUUCAAACCUAUCUGCACGAGCGGUUCUAUAUUUAUCAGCAAAAUAAUUCAGGAUGUUAGGCACUGAAAAGCGAUGGUGUAUAUACAAAAAGAGGUUGGUACACAGUGCGAAUUGGUGAGUUGAGAUGCUUCCAGUUUGGCUUCACCACAAUCAACAGUAUGGCAAUUGAGAGUAAAUCAGCCAUGGUAUGCUAAAAUCAUGAUCAACUUAGACUGAAAGUUAGAAAGUCGUUAUGAAAGGAGGGAUAGAAUCAUGGCUAAGAGAAAAUAAGGCUACAGUUGUGAUGAGCAAGGAUGGUUGAAGUCCCUAAAAAGAUGACUACAAAGAAAGUGCAGAACCAAACUAACAAUGUUGAUCUGCAAGUAGCAACUGCAACAACCAAGUCAUAUCCUAACAACAUACAGUAAACCGCACAACAGAAUAAACAGCCUGCUACUAAUCCUAAGGUUUUUGGCUUAUUCAACUCGAGCUGUUACAGCAUUAUAUAAUCAACCCAAACCACAAAUGAACAACAUAUUAAAUGACAACAUCCUCCUUCCAUGGAUAAAGACUAACUAAUAAAUGAAGUUCAAUAUCCAACUUAACAUUGUAAUAAGGCAAAAGUAAAACAAAGGCAUUCAAGACGCAAAAAUUUCAUAUAGUCAACUUGCAGAAGGUACAAAAAAGGGAGAACCUAAUAAAAAUAAAGAUGAUGAAAAUCCCACCACAUGGUUUCUAUNNNNNNNNNNNNNNNNNNNNNNNNNNNNNNNNNNNNNNNNNNNNNNNNNNNNNNNNNNNNNNNNNNNNNNNNNNNNNNNNNNNNNNCAUAAACAUUCCGGUCCUUGUUAGAUGCAAUCACACGAAGCCAAUCACGCACAUUGUGCUUCUUCAAAUACUUCUUUGUCAAGUACUUUAAGUACCUACAUAAGUGCUCAACUCAAUCAAUAACAGAAUACAACUAAAUACAUGAGCAAAGUUCAUUUUACCCUAAUUCCAAAAUUUCAAUUUCUAAACAGACUAAGUGUACCUAGUUUCAAGUAAAUUCAAAUUAUUUCAAAAUUUGUAAGAUAUUCUGAAAUUUGUCAAAUUUAUAGGCAUAAUCAUUGUUUAUAGGUAUUCUUCAAAGAACAGAAAGAAAGUCACAUUCUUUCAUUUAUUAUGAAAACCUAUUAAGCCAAAGCGCAGGGCAGUUUUAAAAGUCGCUUCAAAAGUAAGUACCUUUUGGAGAAGUUGGAGUCGGAGAGAACGGUGAUCUUAGUCUUGUCACGAGUGACGGUAACAGUGUCACCGAGGGCGCCGGCUUUGCCGCCAACUUUGAUGCGCUCUUGGAGGAACUUUUCGAGGGAAGCAAUGUCCAUAAUCUUGUCCUCGACAGGCUUCGCACAGUCGAUGGUGAAAGUUGCACCCUUCUUCUUUCCCUUGGCUCCACCACCGGCCGCUCCUCCGCUUCCUCUGCUCAUUGUUCUUUCUUCACUUGAUUGAUGGUUCCUACAGAAAUCAAAACGACGAAGAAUAAAGUAAGAAAAUUAAGAACGACAUUUUGACGAGGGUAGAGAUGAGUUUGUUACCUGCGUGCGUGGAUGAUUGGGGUUUUGGUGCGCCGCUGUAAUGGGAGAGAGAUUUCCGAGUUAGGGUUAGGAUUUUAUAUGGAGUGAGCCACUGUAUUUUGGAAGCAAACACAUGUUAAUGGGCUGAGGCCCGUAAUAUAGGAGGGCUCAUCUAUACAGUUUGUUAGUGGGCCGAGGCUCGUAAUCUUGGUGAGCUGAUCAAUCUGCUUAAAAAUUAUUAUUCUUAUUUUAUGAUAUAAAAAAAAAAGUACUUCUAAAAUUUCGAAAAUUAUUUGAAAAUAUUUUCCGGAAACAUAACUAAUGCUUUUAACUUCCCGUAAUUCUUCUGUUUAAUAAUAAUAAUAAAAUCUCGUAAUUACUGAAUAGCUUCCUCGUCAACCCCCCCACCCCCCCAAGUAGGAGUGUUCGCAGAUCGAAUUUUACGGAUUAGACAUCAAUCCAUAUCCAAUCCAUAAUUUUGCGGAUUAUAAUUUUUCAAUCCAAUCCAAUCCACAAAUUGAUUAAACUCAAUCCAUACGUCUGCGGAUCGGAUGCGGAUUUAACUUAAUCCAUAUCCAAUCCACCAUUUUGCUCAUUAGUUUCCGAAUUAAAAAUUUUAAGUUCUCCCCAAUACAUGAACAAAUGAAAUUAAAAAAAAAAAUCUAAUAUAAAAAUAAUUUUACUACCAAUUAAAUUUAAAAUUGAAUAAAAUUUAAACAAAUUAAUUAUUUUAAUAAAACUAAAAUAAUACAUUCAAAGUUUCAAAAUAUAGUUCAUCGAGAUUAAUUGUUCAAAUAAAGCUACAAUAAUACGUUUAAAGUUUCAAAAUAUAACAUAUUAAGAUUAAUUAUUCAAAUAAAGUUACAAUAAUACAUUAACAUAACAUCGAAAUUAAUUGUUCAAAUAAAGCCACAAUUAAUUGAAAUGACGAAGUUUCUGAAACCAAACACAGUCUGAUCCUUCACCAGUGCUAUUGCACUUGUCGAAAAGUGGUAAUUACGGAGCCGCCAACGAUGGGAACCAAGAGAAGUAUGGGUGGCGAUCUUGAAGGUUGGAUAAUACAAUUGUUUGGUUGGAACCAGUGAUUGUGAAGUGGCUCGAUGAACUCAAGGAAGAAGAUGGCUUACUCUCGCUGGAAUCACGUGGCCAACGUCCUUCAAAACGGUGUCGAGAGUGUAUCGAACCAGUAUUGGGUGUUGCUAAUGCGUGUGACGGUGGGGAAGCUUAGGGUUUUUUGUUUGCAAAUUGUUGGUGACUUGGCGUUAUGUUACUUUACUUUUGGGUGACUUUACAAAUUGUUGUUAACUUGACGUUAUGUUACUUUAUUUUUGCCAGUGCGUGUGACUUUGCUUUUAUUUUGUUUUACAAUUUUUACAAGUUAUAUUUGUAUAUUUGAUUAUUUAAUUAUUUUUUAUUUAAUAUUAUUAUUGGGCAAUGGCUAAGAUUUGUUAUAGUGCUUAUGUAAUUAUGUAAUGUCACAUUUAUAAUAUUCUUUAAUUAAAUUUAUAAUAAAAUUUUAACUAUAUAUAUAUAUAUAUAUAUAUAUAUUUUUUUUUUUACGGAUUUACAGAAGUAAAUCCAUAUCCAAUCCAUCGACUACGGAUUUUUAAAUUUUCAAUCCAUAUCCAAUCCACGAAUCCACGGAUCGGAUUUAUACGGAUCAAAUUUUCACAGAUCAGACGGAUUGAGCGGAUCAAAUUGAAUUCUGCACACCCCUACUCCUCCCCCCCGGGCGCCGCGGCCCAAAAAAAAAGUCUUACAGCUUACAACUACUCAUCAUAUGAGAAGAAGUUUUCUUCCGAUUUCAAAAUUUAUUUACUUCUGUCUAUAUCUCAAUCCGUUAAUACAUUUAAUUAUUUUCAAGAAAAACACACCCACCAAAUGAGGGUCUUAGGCGAAGUAUUACUGCCAUCAGCAGCAACAACAUUCAGCACACUACAUCCAAUUAUUUAGUGUCAACACCACCCAAAAAAUCUCUAAACCAGACAUACCAUGAGAGUGUAUGCAAAGAAAGUAAUUAACACUUAUGAUCCUCGAAACUAUUUGUUGUGCGAAUUGAAAAGUGAUCUUCAAGUUUCCCCUCAUAUUUUCGGAAAAUAUUAAACGUCACUCAACCACCAGCAUUCAACAGAAGAUUAUUCGUUGUAAUAGUUCAUGAAUAGAUGAGACUGCCAAAGAAAAAUUUCCAAUCAAUUCAAGGCAUUUCCAAGAAAAAGGAAAAAGAGGCAAAAUAGAAUCAUCCAAACAAUGUUUUCUUCUCCAUCUAACAAAAAUUGUUCCCAACAAUUCCCUACCUUCCCACAUCUCCCUGCUACUACUCUCCCUGUUUUACUUGUUUCUCCUUGCUGCUUCUGAUUUAUCCGAUUUACUGUAAUGGGUGGCUGGCAGGGACGUCGAGGGUAGUUCCGGCUUGAAUCUGGCCCCAGCCAAUAAGACGCCAGUGCUUCUCAACUCUUCGACUGAGCGCAAUCUUCUCCCCCCUACUGGUGCACACUGGAGAUGUAAGUUGGAGUUUUGCCAAAUCAUUCUUUACAGCAAGAACUCUAGCUCCGGUCGACAUAGAUCCUAUGUUCAGCAUAAGAAUCUCUUGUUUGGCAAGUUUGGAGACCUUUCCCUGCCUUUCUGAGCCCUUUGUCCUCACACCCAAAAGCCGGCGCAAUAGAAAGAAGUUCACCUGAAACAUCAGGCAUCACAAUUUUAAGCAUCAGUGGCUCUCCUCACAUGAGAAUCUUGUUUACCAAACCACAAUUUCUAUUGAGAUCUAUUUUCUACACAGAUAAACAAACAGAUAAGUUGAAACAUAAUAUCUCUAUAUAAGUAAAAUAACAUAUAUCCCAGAACAAGAGGUAAUUGUACGACAUGAUUAUUCCACUUGUAAAAAUCCAGCUGAGCACAUAAACAUAAUACCAUAUAUAAUCAAUCUAAAAUAUCAUAAAAAGCUUUUUACCUCAAGCUCGACAAAAACUUCAGGGAGUGACCCAACCUCCCCAAGAACCUGACCCACCAGUCUAUCCGCCCGUGUCAAAGUAGGAUCCAUGGUUGUACCAACCCCAAUGAGACCUCCUGGAACUGCAAAUUGUAACUCAUUUUGCUCAGCAAACAAUGAAACUAUUCUCGAGUAUAUAGGUGUGCACUUGAUGUUCCCGGACUCAUCUUUGACAACAAUACCGGGACGAACCUCAAUAAAUUGGUUCACCUUCAGAACACCCUGGCAAAAAAGGGGGGAAAAAAUCAGCUUGAGGGAAAAAAAUGUAUCAUCCAAGUUUUAAGCCAACUGGAAUCAUCAAUCAUUGAAACCAGAGUCGUGGACUGUUUGUGGGAACAUAACCUAUCCACCAUUAGAUCUUGCUAAAAAAAUUUUAUCACCAAUACAUCUUGUAGAUGUAUUCAUAAGCUAUAUUAAUUAGUUUAAUGCCCUAAUUUCUUUUUAAGAUUAGGAUUUUAUCAUCCAUACUACAGUUCACAGUCAAGUAUACAACAACCUAUAACAACAAGAAUACUCGGUAAGAAGAAUGGCUGUCAUAACUGGUUCGCUGAAAAAGAGACAUACCCUCAGGAUGCUGCCACCAGCAACACCACCUCUUAUAUCAUCAACCUCAAAACCAGGUUUAUUGACAUCAAAAGAUCGAAUUACAAUCAUAUUUGGUGGAUCAAUAAAGUUCCUCUCUGGAAUGGGAAUCUUUUUCACAAUAUAUUCGCAUACAACAUCAAUAUUGUACUUUAGCUGUGCAGAAAUGGGAACCACUGGUGCGCCAUCAGCAACAGUUCCCUGGUACAAAAAAUUGCAGGUUGAAAUUCAGUUGAAUAGCAUAGGAAAAUUGCACCAAAUGUAUACGCAUUAUAUACAAGCUGAAAUUAGGGAGAAAUUUUUCCAAUGAGAAUGGUCUGAGAAGAAACCUGGAUAAACUUCAUGAUAGCUUCAUGUUGGUUGAUGGCCACAUUUUCCUGAAUGAGAUCAACUUUAUUUUGAAGAAUUAUUAUAUGUUGGAGACGCAUGAUUUCAACAGCUGCCAAGUGCUCCGAUGUUUGUGGUUGCGGGCAACUUUCAUUGGCUGCUAUGAGAAGCAAUGCUCCAUCCAUAAUUGCUGCUCCAUUAAGCAUUGUAGCCAUAAGAAUAUCAUGACCCUGUCAACAGAAAGAUGUAGAAAACUUAUCAGCAUAAAUUGACCCCGGACAAUUUGCAUGAAAAAGGGGUAUGCAAUUUCUAAAUAUACAAACAUAAGAUAUAAGACAAUCAACUUGUUCUACUUAUAUUCCAAGACUAUGUUUCCACCUAAAAAGUACCAGUAAGGUCCAAGUCAGAUCAAGAACAUCACAAAGGGGAAGGCAACCAGAUGGCCAUUCAAGAAAGAUAUCAUUGUUAAUAUCCCCUCAUUAGUUUCCACUUAUUAAAAAGAUCCAAAGACAGGUUGAUCAAAACACAAAAACAGUAAACAUAACUCAUCCUUUUUUGAGUAUCUGGAAAAAUAUACAAACAUAAACAGACCCUGCCAAUCCAUGAAUACAUCAUCAAAUCAAUUUAUAUACUUUAAAAUCCAAGUCUCAAUAAUAUAUAUCAUAAUAAAAAAUCAUCAUUCACUUACCGGGCAAUCAACAAAAGAGACAUGCCUAAGCAAUUUCAUCCUGCAGUUCUCAAAACCAGGCACAUCGCACAGAGGAUUAUCUUCUUUCCCACUUCCAUAUGCCCUAAAAAAGAAGGCAAAUUACAUAUUAACAUGAAAUUCUGGAAAAUGACAUGACAAAAGAAUUGCAUCUGUUAUAAGCCACCUACUUAUAGCACAUUGGUCGUGGGCAACGAUCAUCUUCACAUUUGUAUAUCUUGGCAUUUGCAUAUCCAAGCUUGAUAGUAAUGUUACGCUCUAAUUCAUUCUUAAAACGAACAGUCUACAAAUAAAAGGCAAGGAUUAUGCAAAACCCAUUAGAUUAUGCACGCAAACAUCUUGUCAUAAAAAUUAAAGGAAUAUUUCAUAAUCUUGACAUAGACAAAGGCAUAUUAACUCAACCAAUCAUAUCUCGUAUUGCUUCCAUUAUGCUACUUGAGCCAACACAAGAUUGUCAUCUAUUGACUCUGAGUGAAACUAAAUCAGCCUGAAUCAAACAAACAAUUCAAGUAUUUUCCACCAAGUUUAUCAGAGGACCUUUAUAGAUUACUCAACCGAGACACAAAUCCCCAUAUGAGAGACUAAAAUGUAUACCGAGCAUGCCAUUGAAAGGAAAAUUACAAGCAGUAGAAACAAAGAAGCCACAAACCUGAACACCAGAUAUUGCCUUCACAACAGUUGAUUUGCCAUGGGCCACAUGACCGAUAGUUCCUGAAAAAAAAAAAAAAAGAAAUCCACCAACAAUCAAUUUCAAAUCCAAAACAGAACCCAAUCAAGAACAAUAACUAAAACUUAUUAAAUCCAGCUUUUGAAAUGAAAGUGUCAUAUUGCAAAGAUUUACUCAUGGGAAAGGGAACAUUACCAAUAUUAAUAGUAGCCUGGCGAGAAAUGACUUCAGGAGAAAGAGGAUGCAACUUAGUUACAUCCAACUUACUCAAGUCCUGUUCCAUCAAACCCUUCCGUGACAUCUUGCCUGUUUCUUUGAAAAUACCCCUCUCCUUAUUGUCUGUAUUGCCACUAGUAAUGUUCAAGCCCGUAAAACUGAAUGGCCAACAAUAUAGUACAUAAAGUUAUAUUAAUCAAUUAGGAUGAAGCAAUAAUAUAAAUUUGUAGCCAAACACCAUAAUUAAAUACACAAAAAACGAAUACAAAAGAAAAAAAGAACACCCACAAAAACCCUAAUGAACCAAGAUGCAUAGAAACCCUAAAUUCAACAAUGAAAUGAUAACCGGAACAAAUUGCUCGCCAAAAAUAAAAAAAUUGAAUAUUACAAAAAUAAUGAAAAAUAAACCGUAAUGAACAAGAUUCAUAAAGAAACGCAGAAUUCAACGAUAACAAAUAAAAAAAAGAACCAAUAAUUCGUGGGGGAAUAAUCAGGUGUCAGAGCUGAAUCUGCGAGUGAGAAAAGAAGAGCAGACGGUAAAAGAAGCGGACGUACCUGAUUGAAUGCAGAGCAAGUUGCGACCGGAGAACGACUGCGAGACCGAGAUUUGACUGAGGUUUACCGCUAUAUUGAUUGUGAGAGGGUGUGUGUGUGAGAGAGAAUUUUAGGUUUUGGGGGACUUCUUGCGAUCCCCGUGGGGUUACAUUUGUAAAUUUUUAUUGGAUUACAGCUGGCCUUAUUGGGUUAGGUUGUGCCCGACUGCCCAUGGGCCUUGUUACGCAUGGUAUUGCGCAAAGCAUAAUCCGAAGAGUGGAGCUAUUGGCACCCAUACAUUAUUCUUAAAAAACCUCACUUUAAAUAAAAUUAUAAUUAAGGAUACAUAUAGAUUUUUUUUUCCAGCAAAUUACUUAAUUCAUAAUCAAUCCUUUUAAAAAAAAUAUUUUAUAUGUUUCUUCCUAUCUAACUAAAAUAAAUUGUACAAAUUUAGAAUAAUAUAUUGUUCUCUUUUGAUUUUUUAUUGAUUAAAUAUUUUUAUAUUUAAAAUUGCUUUGAAAUUAUAAUUUGAAAUAUGUGUUAUUUCAGCCAAUAAUUAACACUAAAAACUUAUCACCCAUAUAACUUUUUAAUUUGUGUGUAGAGUAAUAAUAAAAUUGAAAAUAAUUAAAAAAUAACACAAUAAUACUUUGAGUUUUAACAAUAAAACAAAUCAAAUGAAAAUUGAGAACUUAGAAAAAUAUAUCUAAAAAAAAGGAUAUUUUCAAAAAUAAAAUGAAUAUAACUAAAAAAGGAGUUUUAUGAGGAGAUCAGAGGGGUGUCAAUAGUCUAACUCUAAUCCGAAUUGUAUUUGAUUAUAUUUGUACUUUCUUCAACCCCAAGAAUUAAAUUUGUUAUUUGCACUUACUUCGGCCCUAGUAGACCAAAUUAACGUUCUGUACUUGAAUAAAAUUUUGCUUUCUUCCAUCCCAAAAAGAAAAUUAAUUCGCAAUUUUAUUUCUCACGUGCAGUGGUAUUAGACAGGCUCGUUCAUUGGCUUUAUUUAAAAAUUAUGAUUCUUGCUCGCCAAGCAAUCCUAAAUCUCCCAAGAUCAAUUGAAGGAAUAAUCUACCUAGUUUUUAUAUUCUUAGCAAACAUAUUAAUUGCUCGAGAAACUUAGUCAAAUUGAACACUUUAAGCCCUUUGUUAAUUUUGAUAUCUGUUACUUAGAACUAAAGAUGGUAGUGUAAAUAAUACAGUGUUUAUACUUGAAAUGGGAAGUCAUUACCUUAAUGUCAUUUGCAUGGAAUGGCCAAUAUCCACCAACAAUAUAGCACAAUGCUUGAUAUAAAACCAAAAACCAAUACUAAUUAACGAAGAAUCUACAACAUAAAAAUGGAUUAAACAAAUUCUCUCAGUGGAUAUAAUUUCCGUUUUUUCCCUACAGAAGGGCUUCAGAAUCUGCUGCUAAUUUAUUCCAAAAGCAUUCCACUUAUCUUUUAUGUUUUGGCAGUUCGUUCAUUUAUACCUAUUUAUAUAUCUCCAGUUUUCCCAACAACUCAUGGGAAUUUAAUUAGCAGAGUACAUCGAAGAAGAAGUGGCAUCACCUCCACCACCACCACCAGCAGCUUCCUUCUGGUCACCAAAAAUUCGAUGCCGGAAGUCGGCAACCAUGAGAGGAAGCCCCUUCCGGAGGGUCACUCUUGGCUCCCACCCAAGAAGCUGUUUAGCCUUUGUAAUGUCUGGCUUCCUUUUAUGUGGAUCAUCCUCUGUGUUUGGCCUGAACUCUAUCCUUGCAUUUCGGUCUAUUAUCUCUUGCACGACCUGUGACAUUAUUAGUAUAUAUAUAAACUCGCAGAUUAAUGAUAUCAGUCGUGUGUAGUUGCGAAACGAUGGUCCAUAAAUGCAUUAAUGAACAGGAUAUAUACCUCAGCUAGUUCAAGCAUGGUGAAUUCACCAGGAUUGCCGAGAUUAAAAGGACCGACAUGAUCGCCCUCCAUUAGCCUUAUUAGGCCCUCAACCUGUAGAAGGUAGAUCGUGAAAAUAUAACACAAAGAGUUCUAUUCUUGUGGUCACCAUAAAUAACGUGCAUGUGUGUACUGACUAGCUACUCAGAGCAUGCAUAUAAUCUAGAGGACAUGACAGCCAAAAAGCCUCCCCCACAUAACGCAUUUACUGUGGUUUCAAGUACAAACACACAAUUUACUCCAGUAGAUACCAUUCUGUAGAGGUUUUCACAUAGUUUUUACUUGUUGGCAUCUCUUUCAACAUUUCAAACAAAAUGGUCUUUGUACAUGGUACAUAUAUACCAGUGGUCGCUGGUGAGAGGGAGAUGACACACCACAGUUCACAAAGCGGACACCAGCCAAAUAAUUGCACGGAUUGACAAUUACUUUUCACUAACAAAUGAAAAGCAACCUUAUCACGGGUAACCAACAACGUCCACAAUCACUUAUGAUCUUUCCCAACGAAUUGUUUAUAUCAAUGAGUGCUGUGUAUCUAGGGUCUGUGACAGUGUGACGUAUCAUUUUCUGCGGAUCAUAUAUAUAGAGGCAGAAAUAUCAAGUGAGGAAGCCAACAACACAUGUGGCGCAUACGAUCCCGUACUCUGUGAUAGUGUCGUCCGCCACAUGAGCUUAUUCUAAAUGAAGCUAGAUAUGAGUCCAUUACUAACGCUUUUUUGUCACUUACCAGGUCUGAAACGAAUUGGAAACUUCUAGUCUGUUUUCCAUCGCCAUAAACAGUCAAUGGCUCCUUCCUCAACGCCUGCACAAAUUUUCAAAUUUAUAUUUAAACAUGCAUGGAUAGUGCCUAGUGGGCAACUGCAUGCAUAAAUAUAUUAUUUAUAUCACAUAAAUUAUAGGGGGAAAAUUGCUCACUUGGGCGACAAAGUUGCUCACAACACGACCAUCAUCAAUGCACAUUCGUGGUCCAUAAGUGUUGAAAAUCCUAGCAAUCCUCGCCUGCAAAGCAAAACAAAUCAAAUACAAAUACAAAUACAGAAACAAAAGAAAAUCAAUUAUCUUAUUGAACAUUACAAGAUGCGUUACAUAUAUCUUUAAUAAUAAGGAACAGUACGUAACCUCAAUUCCAAGUCCUCGAUGAUAGUCCAUGGUCAAGGUCUCUGCUGUGCGCUUGCCCUCAUCAUAACAGCUUCUUACACCUGCCAAAAAGUCAAAUAAAAUGGAGGAAAUCCAAUGGGGAUGAUGAAAUCAAACGGUGGAGAGUUACUCACCGAUGGGGUUGACAUUGCCCCAGUAGGUCUCGGCCUGCGGAUGCUGUAAAGGGUCACCGUACACUUCACUAGUGCUUGUUAACAAGAACCGUGCCCCAACUCUUUUAGCUAGCCCUAACAUGUUGAGUGUCCCCACCACGUUCGUCUUGUUCACCCCCACCACACGCAAAAUAACAGUCAAAGGAAUUCAAACUUCAAACAAAUUAACAACAGGUUUCAACAAAAAUAAUAAACACAUUAAUUUUAAUUUAAUUUUUCUACAUGUUAAUGAAAAAGGAUAUGAUGGUCUUGACAGGAUUGAACUUGUAAUGAACAGGCGAGGCGGGGCAAGCAAGAUGGUAGAUCUGAUCAACUUCUAGAAGAAUUGGCUCCACGACGUCGUGUCGAAUGAGCUCGAACCGCGGGUUACCAAAAUGGUGAAUCAAGUUAUCCUUUUUACCGGUAAAAUAAUUAUCAACGACGAUGACGCUAUCACCUCUAUCCAUCAGACGGUCCACGAGGUGGCUCCCCACAAACCCGGCCCCACCCGUUACCAAAAUCCUCAAGCUCUUUCUUUGUAACCCCAAGGGCACUUUGCCACCCGCGUUUACGUGUUGUACCUCCGCAGCCUCGUAGAGGACACGGCGCCGACUCAGGUGGGUUGUCUCGGACGUCGUAAGAAGAGCCGGGUUGGCGAUUUGGUGUUGACGUAAGGGAAGUUUGCUGAAGAUGAGAGAUGAAAUGGCGAUGCCAAUGAAGAGAAAGAUGAGUCGUUGAGAACGAAGCAUGUACUGAACUGGGUUUCGGAAACUUUUAACUGAUUUCGAAGGCCUUGGUGAUGAAUCAAGGCCAAUAAUUUGGUCUUGUGUUUGGCUUGUUUGGCUUCUAUGGAUCAACUCAUGAGAACCCAUCUUUUGUUUUCCGAGCAGAAUGCUUAUAGUUCUAGAUUUUCUCGAGAAAAACUUGAAAGCCAAAGAGUUGUUAACGUCUGUAAUAACUCUGAUGGAUGUAGAGAGAGAGAGAGAAUUUUGCUUGAUUGGCACAGCAGCAGUAGUUGUGUUUCUGCAUGAAAUUAGGCCGCUUAAUUCCUCUUAUAGGGCCGUGCUUGUUGCUGUUCUUACGGUUUUGCAUUUAUGGUGCCAACUUUUAUGCAUUUUUGGAAUUCACUUUGCUUACUAUAAGGAGUUCAUGUGUGAGCAUGCAUUUACUUGGAAUUUUUUUUUUAAAAAUGUCCAAAAUUUGGUUACAUAUAUAUAUACACGCACCUGUUUUUAUUGUUUUUGUAGCCAAUAAUCAUUUUUGCAUAAUAAUGCCCAUACUUUCGGCAGUGGCAAUAAACAUUGUUAACUUUGCUUGUCGACUGCGGUAGUUAACUUGUCAUAACACUUUAAAACGAAAAAUUAAUUGGACAUUCUUCUAAUAGGACGUUCUUGUAAAUUAACCUUGAUUUCAGGUUAUUUUAGUAAACUUUUCAAAUAUUUUAGUUAUUUGAACCCACCAAAUUUGCAUCUACACUCAUUUUAAAAAAUAAAUUCAUUAUUAAAAAUUUAAAAUCUUAAAAUUAUCCUUCACUAACCUUUCUCUAUGUACCUCACUAUUACAUAGUCACUCUCUACUUUUACAUUCUACAAACUAAACUUUCAAUUUCAUUUUCUUUUGGAUUUUUUUUUUCAUUUCUUAGUAAACAUAAUCUCUAUUUCAUAUUUUUUAUAUAUAAGAUAUUUUUUUAAUAUUCAUUAACUUUCAUAACUGAAAAUUUUGAUAAUUUUUAUUUCUGAAUGAUGGAUUUUGAUCCUCAUAGUUUAUGACAACUUAUAACGAAACUAAUUAUUUGUUGUUUUGUAGUUUGCAAUUAAAAGAAAAUAUAUAAGGCAUUAAUGAGAGUUGAAGAAUUGAGAAUGAAAAGAGAAAGAAAUGGUUAAUUAAGUAAUUUCAUCAAAAAGUAUUUUAAUAAUAAAAUUGUUAACUUGAAAAAAAAAAGGUGUAGAGAGGAAAUUGGUGGGUUCAAAUAGUCUCACGCCUUACCCUAAUAUAAUAUAUGAGCAUUUUUUUGACAAAAGUUUGUUAAAGUAUGAUUAAUGGUACGAGAUAGAGAUAUUGAAUCCGUAUGGAAGUGUUCAUGUAUUAGCAUUACUUCAUAUUUAUCUCUAUAAAUUGAUUCUCACCUUCAUCUCAAGAUCUUAAAGCUCCCAAUUGACUGACUGUAAGAAGGUAGCAAAGGUAAUACCUUCAACGUACAUAGACUUUAAUUGUUGCGAAGACCGCACUUUGUCUACACUAAAGACCGAAAUCGGCGAAAAUGGAGGGAAGAGAAAGUAGGUAAAAGAUCACAAUAUUUCAACCGUCAAGGGUGGCAAUGAUACUGCGACUAGAGCCAAUGAGUGCACUAAUACUAGGGCGUCGGUUGCAAACCCACCUGCUAUAUUGUCUCGGAAGCAAAGGUUUGAUUGCCAGUGGAUUUAUGGACAAUGAGAAUUUUUGCUUGCUUUCGAAACAUUAGUAGUUUAAGCACUAUGAACCUGCAGAGACUAAAAGAUGCUUAAGAUAAAAGUUUCUGCUUUCAAGCGAUUACGGGGGCAGCAGCUAAUAUUUUAAUAAUUUUCACAUGAUCUCUAAUAAGCCAAAACAACUCAAAGAGCAGCCCAUUUUCACGAGGCAGGCAAGAUUUUUCAUCUUUUUAUCUUUGAACUCUCAUCCUAACCGGGGCAAGAACGUAAUCAUUUGUUAUUGAAGUGGCCCAACCGCAUCAUAUAGCUAAAUUAAUUUUACAUGUUAUUGAACACUAUGAGACAAUAUGAUACAUGACAAAAUCAAAGCAAGACUAUGGGUAGGAUGAGACUAGAAUCGCCGGAUAUCUUUUGGAGGCUUAAAGUUGAGGGGAUGAGUUUCCGGGGUGGCAGUUUCAUCUUCUCUCCACAUUUUGAUUGUCUUGUCAGCUUCACAUGUGACAAGUCUUGAACCAGUUACAUCAUAGGAGAGAGCAUAUAUACCCGCUUCACUGUCCAAUGAACCUGAAACAGAUAAUCAUUCGACAUUAGAAAUUUUCCCCAUUUUCAACAGCAGCCUUACAGCAAUAAAAAGAAUAAUUGUAAAUGAAUGAAUAAAUAAAAUUGGGUGAAUUCUGUAUAUACCAGGCUGUACAAUUGUUUGGGCUUGCUGGAAAUUGUGACCACUUUUCCAAUCCCAGAACCACAGACUCCCAUUGUCACCUUCAAUUACAUACAAGCAACCAAUUAGAACAUACACAUACAUGCCACAACGUCAGGCCUGAUAUCAUCACAAUUGAAUUCUGACUUUUAUAGAAUCAAAUGAGAAGCAUAUCAAAAGUGUAGCAAGUACAAACCUCCUGUAGCUAAGACACCCUCCUCAUUGACAGCCAUGGAGUUAAUGAUAGUUUUCUGCUGUGAGCUGCUCAAACGAACGUAGAGUUAGGAACUGAUAAAGAAACUAAGACAAUUCUAUGAUAUACAAUAAACAUACAUUAGGAGGUCUCUGGAUAAUGCAUCAUCAUGAUAUUCCAAGUGCAUUAAUUAAAAACAAUAAACUCAAAGCACAGUCUCAAAGCAAUACUAAGACAGAUGAGUAAUCUGAGUGUAAGUUUUAAGGAUUACAUUUCCCAAGGAAUAUAAAAACAAACACUGUUCUAGACAUUUAUCAGAGUAUAUAGCCAAGAAGAUUACUAACUAGAAAUUAUUAACUCAAACGUUUACUUCUCUGAAUUUUUAGACUACAGUUAUCAGUCAGAAUCUCAAUAUAGAAGUACCAAACAGAAGAGAAAGUAAAGGAGGGAAAGUUAAAAAAAGAACAAACCAAGAGUAUAUAUGCAGCGAAGGAAAGCAAAUCUCAUCUACAGUACAUAUUGAAAAUAUAGGUUGUUUGAGAACUUAGAACUUACAGCAUGUUGUGUAGAAACUCUCCCUUUGGAAGGUUGAAUUUCUUAAUAUUUUCAGCUGAUGCAGAAGCAAAGCAAUCCCUGGAAUAACAGAACAUAUUAAAGAAAAUUUAAAGACAUCAUACGUAGUUUAAGUACGAUACAAUCAAUCACGGCUCUCUGGCUUCAUAAAGGUAACUGAUAACAUGUCCGAGAACAUACUCUGUAGGAUGCAAAGCCAUUGCUCGCACAGAUUUCUUAUGGUGUGUGAGAGUUAGCAUCGUUUUCCCUACAAGAAAAAAGGAUUUGAAAUGUUAAUUUUCUAAUGCAAAAAAGAGGAAAACUAAUAACAAAAUGAAUAAAUAAGUAGCUACCAUAUCUAAGAUCCCAAAACUUAAUGGUUGAGUCGUGGGAGCCAGUAACAACUUGUGGAUCCUGGAAAUGAAAGAACCACACUAUAGUUUAACUAAAAAAAUAUUAUUAAUGGUCAUAAAUAGAUUAGAUUACGUAAUAAGAGCACCCUAUGUUCUCCCUUUGAAUAUGAAAGGCACAAUACAAUCAUGUCAUCCACAAAGAGCCAUUUCACUUUAAAGACCAAUUAACAUUCCUAUGUUUUGCUACAACCAUGGCAUAAUUGAGAAUCUUUCCAUCACAUUUGUUAUAUAAAGCAGAAUGUUUCAGUUAUACUUAAUCUGCAACUUCACAAUCUCUAGCAUGUGCAUGCAUACUCCUGAAAACGUCAAGUCUCAGGGUCUAAGCAAACAAACAAAUAGGAAACCCCAACUAGGAAACGAAACAAAACAAGCAGCAAUGAGAAUACAUAAAUAAACACCAGAAUCAUCUAAGACAAUUUUUUCUAACACCUGAACACAAAAAAUGUUCAUACCGUAGGUCGAGUGAAAACUGAGCAAACUGUAUUAUCAUGCCCAGCCAAUGCAAAGAUUUGCAUUUUUGUACGAAUAUCCCAGACCUGAAAAAGUGUUAUAACAUCAAAAGAUUACAACCAUUUUUCUAUACCACAUUCAGCAAAACUACAUACUCCAUUCAGCGAGCAACGAAUUGCACUCACAAUAAAAAUGUCAUAAAACAACGAUAAAAUUUAUACCCGGCAAACAGAAUCACGACCCCCUGUAAGCAAUAUGUCAAUGGUGGGAUGAAGACCCAAGCAGUAAACACCACUUAGAUGGCCAUGAUAAGACCGGAUAACCUGUAAAGCAGAUUAAAAAUUUCAACACUAAAAUCACUUGUAAAAUGGCUCAAAAAAUUAAUUUAACAGGAGUAUUUGAAGUUCUGACCUUAUUUUGUUCAAGAUCCCAGCAUUUAACUUGUUUAUCAUCACCGGCAGAGAACAUAUAAGUAUGUUUGCUGCUAACAGCAAGACCUGCAAAUGAAAGAAAAAAAAUGACCUCAGAAUUUUGUUCAUAAUUCAGAAAGUAUUAGCUAAAAGCAAUUUAUGACUGGUAAAAAUUUCCAGAAACUAACCUCGUACUUGUUCAAUAUGUCCUGUUAGUGUCAACUUUAGUGUUCCUUUUGCUACAUCCCAUAUCUGAUCAAGAAAACAAAUAUAUAAAUGGAAACAGUCAAGCUGGAUGUCCUAAGAUGAAGCAAUUAUUACAAUGUCAAGUUCAAACCAUUCACAGUUUUUCUGAUUUUCAAAAAGAAUGGCUGCAAUAAUUUAUCCAUUCUCAUAUGCAACGAAAAUCAAGCCUGCUUAACAGGUGAAUUUCAUCCGCAUUUUUAUCCACUAACAGAGGAUUAGAAAAAGAUUUAUGAUAAUUAUCAGAGUUUAUGGUGUGAAAAGAACAGAAAAGUGAAAAGAAAUCAAAUAGCAAUCGCAACAUUGAGAUGAGUUAAAUAUAGCACAAACAAGCCAAAUAUCUAAACAACACAUAACCAAAGAAACACAUAGAAGCUAACAGGAAAAUAGUUCAGAAAUCAGACAUGAAAAUGAAGAUUAAAGCUCAAACCUUAAUUGUACGAUCUGCAGAGCCAGUGCAAAACCAUGUAUUGCUAUGAUCAAAUGCAACAGAUCUUACCCAUCCCAAAUGGCCACUAAUGACCUACAAAGCAAAAUCAAUUUAAGCAAAUAUCAAAUAAAGUCUGUUGGCAAAUGAUUGAUAAAUUAGAAACACACAGGAACAUGUAUGCAUGCACACCCAGACACAAAUAAACCAGACAAAGGCUAGUGUCAAAUUUAAAACCAUUAGGGAAAGAUGAAAAAUCCGCCUAUGCAGACCUGUCAGGUGAUAAGCCAAAUUCAUUAGCAGGGAUAAGAAAAUGAACAUACUAAACAAAAACAAAUGAAAUCCCAUGUUUUCUCCCUUAAAUCUUAGCCACAAAUGAAUAGACAUGAUAUUCAUUUUUUCUCUUCAUCAAAUUUAUUCAAUGACCGUUAACACCAUUACAAUAGUGCCCUUCUAGAUUUCCAAUAAUGGAAUGGGAUUAAAGAAACAGAAAAUUGAAUGUGUCAAAAAAAUAUAUAUCAUGCAACUAUAAGGCUCAAAUUUCCCAGUUUCAGAUUGGUAAUAGAAUAAGUAGAGCAGACAAAAAAAUAACUGAAUGAACUUUUAAGCGUGUAGGGAAACCAUCUAACUAAAAUUUAUAUGAAUGGAAAGCUCAGAGUCAAAACUUAAAGGUAGCCAAAGUCCGAUCAAAACUUUUUUCUUCUCCCCCCCCCCUCCCCACAUUAAACACACACGCACACUACAUGAGACUCCAACCCGAGACCUAAGUCUUGGUAAGGCUGCCCACUACCCACUGGAGCUAGGCCUUGGUCUGAAGUUUGAUAAGAACUAUGAUUUGGCUCCGUUAAACAUCAUACACUACCUUUCAAUUUUAAAGCAGAUGAAGGUUCCAUGAGCAUGCCUAGAUAAAUGCAUAUUUUACUAAAAAUUUUACAACAAAGAUUAUCAUCAGAAAAGAAACAGUUAAAUAUGAUUUGGCUCCAUUAACCAUCAUACACUACCUUUCAAUUUUAGUGCAGAUGAAGGUGUCAUUCUAAAGUUUUACAAAAACGAUUAUCAUCAGAAAAGAAACCAAUUAAACCAAACAACUUGCAUGUGCACAAAGUAACAAAAGAAUAAACCGUGUCUUACUCUGUAGCACUUCCAUGGAGCAUGCCAUUCAGGACGUGGCCACUUGCUCGGGAUUCGUUCCAUUAUUGCAGAAGUUGAAAGAUUCCUAUGGAAAAGAAGAAAGAAAAGAAAGUAUGUUUAAACUUGAGAAUGGCCCGAUUAUCCAAGGUAGCACCAAUACUCAAAAUAGUAAGAGAUAUGUCAAGCAGUGCAUGGUUUCAGUUACUCAUAUAUCAUUAUAGCAGAAUGAAAGAAAGCACAACAAAGGAGAAAAUGAAAACCUUUCAGAUGAUGCAGAAGUAGAUACAAUGGCACUGCUUUUGCCUGAAGGACCAACAUUAUUUCUGCCAGAAACAUGAUAUUGAUUAAACCAAAGGCACAAAUAUGCUCAGCAGUGACAGGAUAAGAUAAACACACAUAAGAGACUGCUUUGUUAAGAAGUAAAAGCAUUGAAACAGAAGAGAAUACUCACAGUCCCUUAGGCUGCGCAGAUGGACCAACAACCAAAGCAUUUUGAGCACCUGCUUUCUGUGCAUCCCUCGAGCCUUCUGGCCCUAAAACAUAGUAAGUGCAAUAUUCUAAGCAAGGAUUCAAGGCACAUUGAAAUCAUAAUAGAUAACAUUUCUUUAUCACACUAAAAAACGCAGAAUUAACAACUCUAAAUUCUGAAUCAUCAAUUUCAUAUUAACAAAACCUGGAAGAGCAAGGACAUCUGAAGAUCCAGAUGGUUGAUUCCGAUGAGCUGUUGUAGUCGAAUUAACUUGACGCCUAGGUUCAUUGGUACUUUUAAUACCUCCAUACUCAAGAUUUAGCUAUAAAUUCAGUCAAAAUCCAAUACAUAAGCCACAAUACAAUCACAUUGUCAAAAAAAUUACCGGAACAAGCAAAAAAGGAAAACGAACUAAAUAUUUGAAAACUAUACUCAAAUUUCUCAUUAUAUAAGCACAACCAAUAUAUAAAUUAGACUAACCUUAUGGCUUAUGCGAAUUUUUUUACUGCAUGAACAAAAAAGAAAAACGGUAAGUUUGAACUGCGUUUUAGGAAAACGAAAACGGGAAAUGUAAAAGAAUGACAGCAAAGAAGAAAAAUUUAGGGUAUAGAACAGAACGGUGGUGACCUUUCAGGAUCGGGAGGAGGUAAGCGGCCGUGAGUAGGGCUAAAGAGAUCGAGGGCUCGCUUUUGGGAUUUGAGACUUAGCUUCUUUAGUGAUUGUGGCUCUACCGGCUCUAAAUCCAUUGCUGGUCCGGGCAUAUUCGCUUCUUCUUCUUCUUCUUCGACUUCUAGCAACCGCUAGCUAGGGCUUUAGACGAAAACUGGAACAGAUACAGCGAGCAAGACGGACAGAAAGAGAGAGCGCGAACCGCCUCCGGGUCAAAUUGUUUCGGUAAUUUGUUUUGCGAGAAUUUGUGGUUUUAAUAAUACGACUUCGUUUCUUUGCAUAGGCUUUAGCUGGUAAAGUGGGUGUGGGAUGGUCUGGAUCCGGUACCGCUUUACAAACAGUGAGACAAAAAUUACCGAAUUGUUUAAAAAAAAAAAAACACUUUGUAAUUUAAAAAAAAAAAUAGAGGUGGGUAAAAUCUAAAUUAUCUUUUUAUCUCUUGUCAUCACAAAAUUUAUAACUUGAGUAAUUAAAUAAAAUUAUUUAAAAAUCACUCUAUCAAAAUAUUGAAGACUAACACUUUAUAUUCAUAUUAGCUGUUUAUAAGUUAUUUAUAUUGAUACUUCAAAUAUUAAAAGUUUACAACUUGCACCAAUAUCUUGGUGCCAAAGGGUGAAGCUAAGCCACCAUUAAUUUACAAAUACAAAUUAAAUUAUUAUUAUUAUUGAAGGCUUAAAAUUUGUUUUACCACCGAACCAGUGGCUUAAGUGGCAAUGAGUCUCAAAUUCUAAAGCGCGCUAUGAAUGACUAUAGGUUAAAAAAUAUUAGCAAGAUUUAUAAUAAAUUGGAAGUAUAGUAUACGUUAAAAAGCUCAAUUUGCUCGCAAUUUUAGUUCAUAUUGCAUUAUGUAUAACAUAACUGAAUAUCCCAAUUUUGAAGUAAUAAUUCUAUUCUUCAAUUUCCAUCACGACUCCCACAAUCAUAUAAUGGAUUCAUUGCUCUUUUAUGCCUCAUGAAGCAGAGAUAAGGAGUAUUAUACCAAGUUGAAAUGCUAAUAAGACCAAAUAUGAUUCAAAACUAUGAUGGUAUUAUACACUAUUAUACACAGUAACAGUCUUUCAUCAGUUGCAUUGCUAUUUGAAUUCCACAAUAUAUAUAAUACAUAUAAGACACUUGGUGCCUUGAUGUUUUGCAUAACCGUCCCAAUGCUUCUUUUAUCCUGGCAAUAGCUGCCUAAACAGAACUCCAUUGACAAUAUAUGCCACUUUCUUGCUAAAGUGGGAUCCAGCCCUGUUGUUGAUCAGGAUCAUGGAAUUAGAGCAAAAUUAAAUAAAUUAAAUUAUAGUGGGAGAAGAAUUAAAUGAACAAACCUUGAUUAGUCCUGUCUCUGUACCGCACAAGACAAUGUCAUUGGCAGUGAGGAGACUUGUUAUCUUGCUUCCUGCUGAUAUUCUUCCCACUUUCUGUUGUGUUCCUCUCAACCAAAUCUAAUUAAACAGUAUACAUCCGGAGUUAAAAAAGUGCCAUCACUUGUCAAUUCAAAUUCUACACCUUAAACUCUUAAAAUGAUAGUUUUGGGGUGAAAAUUUUUGAUUUAAGUGGAUGUCUGGAAGACUGGAACUGAUAUGUUAAUAGUAUAAGUGUAUGGGUAAUUGUUAAUAUUAGCUGCCAAGUAUAAGUGUUUACUGGGCACUUUAGUUGUUGUGCUUCCAAAAUUAAGCAGAAGCAUUGCUGUUACAAAUUUGUCCUAAAUACCUGAAGGGAGCUUGCAGAAGAGUUGCAAUUCAAGUAUAUGAAGUCUUCCACUACCGUCAUUGCUUGUAUAGUCGUUCCUUUUUCAGGAGCUAUUGAUAUUUGAGGCUUUCUGUGUCUUCUCCAUUCCUGUGAUGUUUCUUUUUAUCAGUGGGAGGUUCUUAUGCGGUAUAUACAUUUAGAGUUCAUAUAUAGUUCAUAAAAAGUUCACAUACCUUAAUAUUUGAUCCUUCUACACUCGAACUUGCACUAUACAGCCAAUCUUUGUACACAACAAGUGAAUUGAUAGGUUUAGAUUGCAGCCUCCAACUUUUAAAUGGUGCUUUAAUCUCUCGCUCCACAUUAUUUGACACUGCUAACUCCUGCAAUGGUUUAUGCUUCAGUAUAUGUAAUGUACAUAGUCUUAAUUGUUGAUGUUAGAUUUUCCGCAAAGCAAGUGUUUAAGACCAAACCUGUAUACUUGAGUCCAUGCAACCAAUAUAAAUCUUUCCUUGAACAACACUCAUGGACUUAAUGCCUUUGCUUCUGUAGAUAUCUUUCAAGGUUCUGGAUGAAUCAAUAACCUGGAGAUGGAAACAACUCAAGUUAUAUUACUUCACCAAAAUUCUCAAAGAACCAGGCCAGUGUUAUCAUCAUUGCUUCUUAACAUUACUUUCAUUCUGUGGCCUUGUGUGAUUGCAAAUAUCGUUUUGCCAUAUGUGUCCAACUUUCGGAUGGGCUCUUUAGUUGCUAUAACUUCAAUGAGCUCUAAUUUCCUUUGGACCAUUUGCCAAACCUGCAAAAGGAAGAUCAAUUUCAAAGCAGACGGUUAAGAUUCUUCUGCUGCCAACAUAUGUGAACCAAAGAAAUUAGUUUCUACAAACAAAAAAUCUAACAUUCUACAUACCCCGAUGGUUUUAUCAGCAGACCCACUUAAGAGACUCUCUCCUGGUUCAAACAAAGAGAAACUUGUCACUGCCUUUCUGUGCUCCUUAACGUCCCAUACAAGCACGGCUGAUUGCUUCUUGAUGUCCCACAUCUGUGUAGUGACAAACACAUCAUAAUUUUGUUUUUCCAAUAAUACAACAAUGUUGGAUGAAAUUUUGUUUAAUAAUGCUUAAGUUGUGGCGUGACUAAAUGAAUAUUUGUAUACCUUUAUUGAACCAUCAGAGAACCCACUGCAAAGCAGUCCUUUAUAGUAGAUCAGAGCAGUCACAGCUCCACUGCAUUUGUGACUUGCCUCCAGAAUUUGAGUGUGGACGCAAGAAAUACGCUGCUCUUACCAUUGUAAGGAUAUGGUUUAGAAAGUGAACGAACUUUGUCACAGUAAUAAUUUCACAUCAAGACGUUUAAGGCUCUUAAAUACACACAGUAUGCUCUCACAUGAACUUAAACACCAUUAUCAAUUUUCUAUUGUACUAACCGAUAUGUUGGGCAGGUAAUAGUCAGCUGCUUUAUGUAAUUCCUCCGCCAUCCAGGUUACAUUCGAAAGGCGUCGCAGUGAUUCUCGCACUCCUUCUGAUGAACGAAUAAGCUUUUGCAUUCCUACACCAAGAAAAUGCAUCAGAAUAUGGCUUAAUCAGAUAGCACGCUUAGCUAUUAUGUUACUUGUGAUUGUGUAACAAUUCUUUCACAGUAAUGGCAUUACCUUUGCCAGAAGCAUAGUUGUAGAUGCACAGACAAGCUAAGAGUCUUUCUUCAAGCUCCAAUCCAGGAUGCAAAAAUUGUUCAACUCCAUCGAGUAAGAUUUGGCAUGCAGAAUGUCUUACACUAUUUGGACUUUUUGAAACUUCAAAACUAAGCCAUGCAAUUGUGGUGAGAGAGUCCCGACACACACUCUUUGUCUUACUCUUCAGUCCCUUCUCGAGAGCAUAAUAGAUGGGCUUCCCAAUUUCAAUAAUGCUCUUUGCAAUCUUGCUGCUCCAUGAGUCUACUCCUCUAUCCUACAAAAUGAAUGUCUUCAUUGUACAAUCACAUGUAAACGAUAAAUCAAUGCUAACAUUAGUUUCUUUUAGCAUCUUACCUGCAGGCUUUGAUCCAACCAGUCAAAGUUUCUUAUCAUGUUCUGUAGCCACGAUGAGUUUAAACCGGCCUUCUUCACAAGCCAAGCUACUGUGUAUGGCUCUCCUGUCCAAGAAAAUGUUCCGCCAAUGUUUGAUAGAAUGAAUGAAGAUAAUAGCUGCAUCGUCGAGCUUUCUUCAGAUGCUACUGCUUUGAGGAUUACCUGCAUUGCCUCUUCUGUGAACACACUUUUACCAGUUGUAUUUUCCUGCAUAUAGUCAUUGCCUAUUUUAUGUCAGUUGAAGCAUUCUCUAGUAUUUGGUAUGUAGUUUUAUUCAGUUUAUAUACACAUUUCAAAUUAAGCUUUUAAUGAAGUAACCUGUGGGAUAUUAUAGGCUACCAUAAUCAAGAAACUUACCAGUGUGUCUAACUGAAGCAACAAAUUUGCUGCCAAAAGUUGGUAAUCGGAUUGCAGUUGUUGAAGAGAAAGCUUUAAUAUGUGCAAAAUAUUAAUGUUUCCUUCUUUGUGUAUCCGUUGCAAUAGGUCUAUGGCUGAUGAUCUGGAGAAAAUGAUGAUUAAACCUAAGAAGGCCCUCAUAAUGUUCAAGUCCAGUGUCCUUACAACUAGAUUGAAUGCAUGUUAGAUCUACCUUAAAUUGUAGUUACUAUUCUCAUACCUUGGUAUGCGAAGGAUCUCAUGAAAGAAUUCAAGUGCUAUCAUAAUGGCGCGCUUCUCACCACUCUGUAGAAGGCAGGCCAGUGGAGCAACAGCAGUGAAUUCAGACAAAUAUUUUCUGCAUUGUCCAUCGAACUGUAUGCAUUUUACAAGAAUUGUGGCCAAAGAGAUUAGUUCUUCCAGAUUUUGAUGUCUUGCAACAUCUAGAAGGCCACAGAGGACUCGCGGAGAAUUUAUUGCAGCCAAAUGCAUGUUAUUUGUAGCAUAAUCAAAUGCAGUUACGAGUACUUCGAUAAUCAUCAGUGAUGCAGCAGGUGGUGUCAGCCGAACUGAUUCAAGCUUCCCUUUGUACAAUUUUGAAGUGCAUAUAACCUCCACCAAUGUCGGUAAGAGCUCUAAGGUCUUAAUUUCUGUAGGAGAUGGCUUUAUCAAGUAAAUAAGAAUAGCUGCCUCGGGCACAUUUCUUUUUAAAGCAGUUGCCAAAUCACUUAGCCUUAAACCCUUCUUCUUAAUGUCUUCUAUGACUGAUUCAUUUGCCAAAAUGAUAGUUGUUAAUAUAGAAACCGACGCUCUUAUCACUGUUUCCUCUUUGGAAGCUGAAAUGGCUGUUAGCAGUUGUUCCAAAAUCACAUCCUGCAACAUAUCAUAUUUCACUCCUGUUUUACUAUUCAGCAUCUUAUAAAGGGUUGUGACUUCUACAACAUAAUCUUUGUUGCAUUUCCUUAAAUCUCCUGAGAAACACAAGCUUGAAAUUGCUUUCUCAAUUAUUUCUAACAAUUCACUCUUCGCAUCCUUUUCCCCGUUUAAACAUUCUUCAUUGAAUUUCUUCCUGCCAGAUGAGUUGUUCUUUUUUCCUUCAGAGCUUCCUCGGAAGUCCAUUUCGGUAAACCUACAACUCUGCAGAGAUGAAGAUAGCACGCAAUCAGAGGGCUGGACUUUAUGCUGUUUUGAUAUCUUGCCCUCUACAUGGCAAGAACCAUUUGAUAUCUUGUCCCUGAGUUCCAGAAUGGAUAAGUUGAAAUGCCCGCUAGAACUUAAAAAUCUUCUAGAAAAAUUCCUAUUGCUGUUUGUUCCAUUUGAUUCUUUAUACAUUGGACGUUUGGGAGCUCGCAGGAAAGAAAUUUUUGCGGAUUCCGACCCUGAUGACGAGCAAUAAGCCUGCAGCUUUCUGCGUAGGUCGUUACCAUUGAAGGAAUCAGUAAAAUUUAAAUAUUAGUAUGGACAUUGUAGAGUUAGAUAUUCAUACAAAUGGUAUACGACUGAUUAUGAACUUAACUGAUCAAAAUUUUCUGGCCGUCGAUCAACUGCACUUGUUCCUUCGUUUGCUAUUAAACUUUUAACAAUCCCCAUGUUUGCCUGAAAGUACAAGAAAAAGGCAUGAACAUUGUAAUCAUAUUCUAAAUUACCAAAUCCUUAGCAAAUGGUCUUUUGGACAAUUACCUCAGAGUCACUUUCUUCCUCAAUUUCAGUAGAGCAUGAACCAACUGUAGUUGACCUGUCCGACUCAGACUCUUGCAGCAUAUCGUAGAGGCAUUUGGUGCUUGAUUUUUUUCUCAGCCCUGCAGUACGACGUUGCAACCUCGGUACUUCAUCCAAAUUUUUUAUAUCUUUACCAUAUUCUUGAAUUUCUGGAAUUUUUCGGCAUGCCUUUGUUCCGACUGUUGUGUCAUUAGUUACAUCUUCUUGAGGAUCAAGUGGAUGCACCUUUGCAUACAGCAUUAAUUUCUAUGGCAUCACACGAGAAAAUCAAUUUCUAGAGGCAACGAUUGUUUAAUCUAAUGUGUUAAUAUAAGAUUCUUUGCCACAAAAUCAAGUCAAAGGCAUACAUACAUUACUAGAAGUUUGCAAUUUUGGUACAUGUUCAAUUGAACUGGAAGAUUCAGACCUGCCGCGUAUCUCAUGCCUGUUCAUACACAUACACACUAAUUCUUAUUACAGCUUGCAGGAUCACUCACAGCCUCAAAAAAAAAAAUAAUUAAGCAGGUAUCCGUAAACAAUCAAUGGAUUAGUAUGAGCACCAAGAGGAAACUUACGUAUGAAAUUGAGCUUCCACACCAGAAGACGAAACCUCUCUGUAUCCACAGUGCCUCUGAGGAGUCUCUUCGUGCAGAAGGACUUGGUAAUACAUUAGCCAAUGUUUGUAUCUCCUUGCGAUCAGCCUCAUCGCGUCACUACCAUUCGUCUCAUCGGAUUCCAAUAUCUUCCUUCCACUCAUUGCUUGAAGUUUAGGCAACCCCAGUGAAGGAAAAAGACACUUACAAAGUUCUGGUGCAAAUUCUGUUCCAAUAAGCCUCGGAUAAACCGAUAAUGCUUGAAGAAAAUGCAGCGCCACUUGCAACUCAUCCUCUUGUAGCUUCUUAAUCACAGACAGAUAAAAGUAAGCGCAGGAAACCAAAUAACAAUUCGGGAUUCCAGAUGUGACUUCUUGCUCGUCAAGCAACGCCGGUGCCUGAAGCAGUCUCUCAGAGUUACAUAACCUACGAGCUUUCUCUUCAGGCCAUUCCGCUUGAAUUGCAGCUUCGAUGCUAUCUAUACCCCAGUAAAGAUUUGAUAAAAUCGAGUGCUCAGAGAAUUCAAAGAACUCCUUCCUUUUCAUGUUCAGCUUGGAGGCACAUCUCAAUUUUAAAGCGUGCCACCUUUCAACAUGUGUAAUGAAUUCAAGAAUGAACUCAUUGAUUGAAACUACAAGUGCCCGAAUGAUCUCGAGGCCCGGUGGUUUCUCAUGGUCAUGAUGGAAGCUUGAUGAAGAAGAAAUGGAAGCCAUUGAAUUGAUAGACAUAUUGGUGGUACAUAAGCAAGAAGAAAAGUAUUAAAUGCUAUAUAGCAGAUAAGAGAGAGAGAGAGAGAAUGAUAAUAUGUAAGUACUUGUACCAAAACCAAGUUCCCGUGACUGUUCCAGCCAAAUUCCAAAGAUGAUUGUCCCUCUAUUUCUUCCAUUGAAGCUACAGACAAAAUGUUGACCGUUGCUUCUGUUUGGGGAAGGAAAGAGAGGUAAAUAAUAAAACAAGCAAUGCUGCAUUCAUCUUCACGUGGUCUCUCUAUCAUAUCCCUUCUAAGCCUUUGUUUGUUUGUGAAUUGUGAGUCAUUUACUCUUUGCUAUUUUUUGCUCUCUAUUAUUUGCGAAACAAGUAGCUAUAUAGCUCUUGACAAAAUUUUCAAAGUCCAUGGAACCUCUUAAAUCAACUCCACUAAUACACAUGAAGAACUUAAAAGUGUGUAUUUAAAAAAAAAAAAGGUUAAUCAUAAGAACCUUUUUAUUUAACAUUGAAUAUAGUUAUAAAAUUGGGCAGCUAGAGUUAUAAUUCCGGAAUUCCCUCUUCAGAUGGGGAAGAAAAUGUGGUGACGGCAUGUUAUAGAAGUUACUGCCAUUUCCAGAAUAAUGCUUUGGGAGUUUGUAAGUAAGUAGUUUUAAGUAACAUCUUGCAUACAUUUGAGUUCUAUUCAUAUCUUUCGUUGCCUCGAGCUCUGUACUUACAAGGUGCAAAUUGACUUGUUAGAAAAGGCUUCAUGAGAAGAGCAGAACCCAUGAGUCCAUGACCAUCCCAUAAACAAUCAGUCAGAUUUGGCUUCAGCUUCACCCUACGUUAGUUUCCGAGGUGGAGUCUUUAUAUUUUUAGAAGCGGCAUGUGGGUCUGGCUCCGGCUGAGCCCCUUAGAUGGAGAGGUGGUACUAGUGAUGCUUUAAAUUAAUUACCCGUGUCUUUUGUUUGAUACGAUGGAGGCCAAUUUAUUAUAGCAUUUGUCGCCUGUCAUGAUAAUUACUUCACUUUCGUGAAGACGAAUAAGAAUUAAGAAUGCUCUCUUUUAUUUACGCAAUAAUACAGCAUCGCUUUCAUAAAUAGUGUUAAAAAUUAUAGGUAAGUUGGAGCUAACGUUUCGAAUUUUUUUUUUUUUUUUGGGUUGAUGUCCUUCAAAUUUUAUUUUUUAUAAUAUUAUAUAAUUUGAGGUGUCAAUAACAAAAAUUUAGAAAUUUCCCUAAAAAAAAAAGACCAAAGGUCAAUGAGCAAUGUAUUUUUAUUUUUAUAAUACAUUUUACAAGCAACAAUGUAUUGUAGAUAAUCCAAAUAUAUAAAGUCUUUUUAAUUCUUCUAAGAUAUGGUCUGUAAAACUCAAAGGUCAAUGAGCCUAAGAUUGAAACCUAUUUUAUAAAUGACAAAUGUAUUGUGCUGUAGAUCAUAUACAUGUAUUAUAAAGAUCUUUUUAACAAAUAAUGGAUUCUGAUUUGCAUAAUUGAAUGAUCAAACGUUUGAUGAUGCAUUGAGUGGGCGGGCCCUUGAUCCAGAUGGAAUGGACUCCUGUCUGUCACGGGUUCCGAUUGUCAUUGCAUGAUUGGAUUCUGAUUGCAUAAUUGAACGAUCAAACGCUUGUCAUCGCUGGAUCAACAUCACACGCACGCAACUAACAAAACAAAUAUUCAGAAAAAAAGAAAUAAAGAUCUUAAUACGUGUAAAUGAUCAAAUUACAUCUAUUAAUCUUGUGAUUGGAAAAUGACAAUCACGAAUGAUCACCUGUAUAACAUGGGCCCAGGUCUACGCCCUUCUUUAGAAGAAAUGUUCAAAUAAUCAGGACCCACAUCUAUGUCCUCCUUUACAAGGAACGUUCAUCAUAUGGCGUAUUAAGCAUGGCAUCAAUUGUUUGAUUGCAGCCUUAUUUGGCAUGUUCACUUUUGGACGCUGACAAGAAUUUUUGCGAAAAAUUAUGCAAUUGUAGUUGUACUGAUUAAGCACACCCGCUAGUUAGGACCAAUGGUAUUGGGCCAAGCCCAUAGAUGGGCGAACUUUAACCUAUAUUGGUCCUUCUGCGAGUUAAGACUGCAGUAGGGCUUUUGACACCCCUCAAAAUUUCUCAUAAAAACCCUUUUAUUGAAAUUGCCUAAAUAACUAAAAUUUAAAUUAAUUCAUUUUUAUUUUGAAUGGAAAUUCAAUUAAAGAUAUAAUAAAUCAUUCUUUUAAUUUUUUUUUUACACCGACCCGUUUCAUAAUUUAGAUUAUUAGUAUAGAUUUUAAUUAAACAUAUAUUUCUUGGAGAAAAUUAUUAGACUCUAGAAUUAUGGAUAUAAACUAUAUAAUAAAGAGAAAAUCAUUUCAGAUUUUAGGAUUUUUAUGUAUAUUUUGUAAAUUAAAAGAAAUACUCAUUUGAAGGUGAAAUUUUAUGUGACAAUUUUCUAUAUGGGUUUCUAUUUUUUUUUUAAAUUAAAGCAAAAAUAUGUAAAGAAAUAAUAUUCGAUAGGGGUGCUACAAGCAUUUUCGACGGGUGUAGAAAGCUCCACUCUUAACACUGCGUCUGUCUGGGUUUUAAGAGGUUUUAUUUACUUUUGAGCCCAAUUCGGACUUGAUUCUAUUUGCUUCCUCGACUCAAUUUUUAGAGUAUGCGAGGAAUUCGAUCUGCUGAAACCCGACCUAGCACAAGGGAUAGCUCCUUUUCAUUCACGCGAAAAGACGUUCGAUUUUUUUUUUUGUUUUUUUUUAAUGUAGAUUCAUUCUAUAGUAAGUCCAAAAAAUCGAAGUUGCACUAUAAAAGAAUUAUUUUGUCCCUACCAAAUAUGAGGCGACCCCAAAAAGAAAAAAUAACAAUAAUUAAUUUGUUCUCAUAAAUUUUUUUUAUUGUAAAUAUUAGUUUAUUAACGUAAUAUUACACUUACCAAAUAUCAUAAUUUGUUUCUUAUUCCAAGUGGAAUGACAUUAAUUCAAUGAAAGAGAUAUAUUAACUGAAAAUUUAAAGUUACGAAGGAAUAUAUUUCAACGAAUGAAUUAAAGUUCAUUUCUUGAGAUUGAUAAAUUGAAAUGCUGCUUAAAAGGUGUAAUCAUUUUGAAAAACUCUUGUUGCCACCGAAAGCACUUUAAUUUAUUUUUUCACCUGUGCUUUAGUGUUAUUUGGGAAAAAUAGGUGGAAAACAUUAAAGCAUUUGAGAGAAGCACUUGUGACAAAAAUAGUAUUUCCAAAAUUAUAAUUUAAAAAAAAAAAAAAACCUUAAAAGCACUUUAAUUUAUUUCUUCCAUUGUUUGCUUGCAUAAAACCAUUAUUAUGCUUUCUCAUCACAAUCCUUUGCUGCCUCAUGUUUCUUUAAUAAUAAUAUAUAUCUUAAUGGUUAGUAAUCAUUCAUAAUAGAUAAAAAUGAUUAGUUACAAGAUUCUCAUUGACUAAUGAAAAAUAAAAUUGAAAAUAUAUGUAUAUGUUUAAAUCCAACUCAAAUUCAUUCAUGUCUACUUCACUCCUCUACUCACUAAUACUUUGUACCAUAUUAGGUUUUAUCUCUACGUAAUGUAAAGUGUCUUCAUGUCACAAGUUUGACAAAAAUGCUUACCGCCCCAAAUUUUUAUUCUCAUUAACAUCAAAUGCUGCCGCGAAAGUUUCAUCAAUUCUUCUCCUCCUACACUCAACCUCACAAUUCAAGCGCCAUUUAUGUCGAUGUUCCCAUGCAGUCUAAAUACUUUUGGCCUUUCUUUCUCUUUCUAUUAAUCGAAACUUCCUAUGGAGUCAGCAUUGCGUCUGCUAGGCAAAUGGGUUUGCAGAAUUCUGAGGAUGCCCCGACGCACUUAAACUUUUUUCGAGCUGCAUUAAGAGGAAGGCAAAGGGUUUUAUCAUGUGCUCAUGAUCCUAAUGUCUGUUCGGAUCGCGAAAAGAACCCUUGGGGUGGCGACACGUGUUGCUUUCGACGGUUCUGUAAAGAUACGUUGAAAGAUUCAGAUAACUGCGGGGGUUGUGGCAAGGCUUGUGGUUACGGGCUUGUUUGUUGUGACGGAAAGUGUGUUGAUGUUCAGAAUGAUCCUCGGCAUUGUGGCUCUUGUUUUGAAGAGUGUCCUGGGAAGAACACAUGUGCUUAUGCAAUGUGUGAUUAUGGUGGCUGAUUGAUGAUGAUGAUGAUUGAUUCAUCAAUAAUAAACUCCUGUAAAAUUUAAGUUCACCCGUGAUGGCUCUGCCAAGAAUUUGGUGUCAGGUUUGUGUCAGUAUGUAUCAUGCAAAUAAGAAGUGUUGUGCUUCGAAAUUGUGUCGAUAUCUAUCAUCUGCUUUGCCCUUAUUCUCUUUGGAUGCAUGCAUUUCAUUCAAAUAAUUCGUGUCAAUGGAUCUUUGUAAAAGUCAAAUAUUUGUCUGAUUAUUUAUCGGAAAAGUUUGAACUUAAUGUGGGUGAUUCAUCUGAAAGGUUAAAAAUCCAUCACUGUAUCGAUAUGACUGUGCUACUGAUUAUUGAAAAGUUGGACUGCAGUGGAACAACUCUGUGAACCAAAGAGCUGUUUCCAAUUUUUUAUUGCAUGUACUUAAUUUUUCGUUACAAAUAUCAAAUUUUCAUUAUAUUAUAUUAGAAUAUUUUUAAAAAACUCUUCAAAAUAAGAUUUUAUUACUUUUUUAAAAAGUCGUAUCAGCAUUUAAUAUUCUAAAAAACACCUCAAUUAACAUUAUUUAAAUAAAAAAUGAUUAUUUCUCUUCAAUUUUAUAAAGUUACUUUCUCACUCUUCAAUUUAUAUUUCAUUACUUUGUAUUGGAGAGAGAGAGAGAGGGAGAAGUGUUUUAAUUACCAUUUAUUUUUCCUUUGAAAAAAUAUUUAUUUGAUUCAAAUCAUAUUAACUUUUUUAUAUUUAAAGUGCUUUUUAGAGAAUAAUAUAUUUUUUCACUCUCAUUUUUACCACAUGGGUAAACAAAUAAAUAUUUAAAGAAUAAAAUUAAUAAAGUCUUUUAAAGAUGCUCUUAGUAGUGCACCUCUUUGUUUUACCUUUUUUAUUUGUUGUCGGUAUAUAUUAAUAAUUUUUAAAAUUUUUAAUAUACACACAUGCACCAAUCAGGAAUUUUAAAAUGUGAAAAAAUUUGAAAAAAAACAUAUAAACCAUUAUUAUAUUUAUACACCUUAAAUUUUAAAACCUGUUAAACACGAUGGUUUAAUAGUUUUUUUCAACUUUAAAAUCUAGAAAACUACUAAUACAAACACACACGCACGCACGUAACAUCCUUGUGUUGAAGACUUUUUCUUGGCUACUUCGACGUGGGCUUUUCAAAUAUGAGACUUUUACUUGAUAGCGACGAUGCAACAACGUUAACGUCAUAUAAUUAAUUGUAUAUUUAAUAAAAAAAUUUAGGUUAAUUAAAACAUAAUGAUAUUCAAUAAUGCAUACACUAUGGGCAUUUAACAUUGCUUCCGGGUCUGUCUAAGCUAUGACAAAAUGAUUCUAAUAAACUUACUAUUCCCAGUUUAUUUUAUGAUAAAUUUCAAAUUUGUCAGUUUUUUUUUCUUUAUAUAUAUAUAUCUUCACUUCAUUAAGAUCUCAUCCUAUCGUUUAAAAAUUAUUUAAUUUAAAAUUUGAAUGAUACAAUUAUCAGUAGCAUUGUGAUACUAAAUUGAAUCAAGCCAUACAACUGUUGGUAUAACCAUGUCAUUAUGUCACUAAGCAAAUAUAAAAAUGUGAAUUCCAAGUUUUAGAUCCAAACUUGUCAGCGAUGGUGCAUGUAUUGUGAUUAUUAAAUGCAUUGAAGUAAUCAUGAAUCGACAGAUUACUGAAAUUAUAAAACUCCCCCUUUCUAAAGUAAAAGAUUACAUCACAAUAAUUCAUGAAAUGGAAUAAUGACCAAUAUUUUUUUCCUUUCUAAAGUAAAAGAUAUAUGGCUCUAUCUUUUUAUGUGCGAUCAAAUCAUUCCAUCACCAUCGGUUCAGUCUGGCCCCAAGCCCUAGCACUGCAAUUUGCAUCUCCAGCGCUUUUCUUUAGGAUAGCAAAAUGUAAAAUCUGUUCUUUACUUACGUUUCUCAUCGGUUUAAUUAUAUUUUUAAGUGACAUAUGUUUUGAUAAAUUUUAAAAAGUGACAUAAAUUUUAAAAGUAUUCGAUUAAGUGAUAUUUUGUUAACUUUUGCCAUUAACUUUAACAGAAUAGUCAAUUAGUUACAAAAAUAAUGUCUCUAUCCCUAAAAAUUAGUUAUAAAAUAAUAUUUGUAAAACCCUACAAUUAGUUACAAAUUGACAUUUAUGCCCUUACUCACUUAUUUUUAAUUUUUAGAUAAAAAAUAAAAAAUAAAAUCUAAAUCUUUUUUUUGGUUAAAUCAAACAUUUAUAAAAAAUCUUAUUGAAUCAAGUUAAUUUGUGAACAUAAAGAAGCAGAUCUCUUAUAAAUUAUAAAGCAUUAUAUAAAUCUAAUAUUUUUUUUUAUCUCUGUAGCUUUAUGAAAAAAAUAAGUUUAGUUUUUUUUUUUUAAUUUUACCCUUACUCUGUUAAAAUUAACGGUAAAAGUAAAUGUUGCAUGAUUGAGUAUUUUUAAAACAUAUGUUUUUUUUUUAAAUUUAUGAAAAUAUGAGUGACUAAAAAUAAUUGACCCUUUCUCAACAAUGUGGAGGCAGUACGCUCCCACAUGCCUUCAUGAUAUCUACAAGUCAAAAGUAUCCUUGAUGACUUUUGUUGACAAAAGCUGCCCGUCUUUUGUCACGCAACAGGGUCCAUAUUAGUAUAUCCAACGAUAAAUGUAUGCCAUGGCUAACUAGUCUUAUAAAGUAUUUGACUGUAAAUAUCAGUAAUUAUCUCGUAUAAUAUAAAUUAUUUUAGUUGAUAUUAGUAUAUCCAAUGAUAAAUGCAUGUCAUGACUAAUUAGUCUUAUAAAUUGUUUGUUUGAUUGUAAGUAUCAAUAAUUAUCUCGUAUAAUAUGAAUUGUUUUAAUUUAAUUGUAAUAUCAAUCUGAAAAAAAAAAAAGAAGAAGAAGGAAGCCCUCUAUUGCCAUCAUAAAAAAUGUGGAAUUUCAGAAUAGCACGAUUUGAUUAUAUUAAAUUGAUGGAUCGUGUCACAAACUGUCAUCUGUAUAUAAAUUAUUAGAAAUUUUGAAAUAAUACGGCAUCAUUUCUGAAAUCAUACGUGAAUCAAAACUGAAUUACAAGUACAAUCUUUUUUUUUUUUUGGGGGGGGCCUCGGGGGGUGUUUCGAGUAGAGAUGGCAAAACCCCGGGCCGGGUCCGGGUAUUGCCAUGACUGGACCCUGCCCGGAUGCAACCGGUCCGGGUCCGGGUCCGGGCCGGAUUUUAUAUUUUUUAAUAUUUUAUGUGUAUAUAUUUUUUAUUUUUUGGUAAUUUUAUAAGUUUUAAAUUUAUUUCAAUAAAAUUUGACAUGAAAAUAUAAACUUUAAGUAUUUAAAACUUUAUAUAUGUAUAAUAAAUAAGUCAAAUAAAUAUAAAAUAUUUAAAAUAAUAUAUAUUUUAUAAUUUUUUUAAAUAAAAUAUGGGUUCCGGGUUUAUCAAGUGAUGCCCAAGACCGACCCAGCUUCAUACCCGAGCCGGGUAUUACCCGGUCCGCAACACCCGGGUACGGUUCGGGUCCGGACCGAACGUGUAUUUUUGCCACUUCUAGUUUCGAGAGCAAAUACAAUCUACCAAGGAAUAACUGGGAAGCACCGUACUAGAAAUGACCUGGAAGAUUUCUAUACGCGCCUGAUGCCUCCACCAUCGAAAGAAAUAAAUAACUAUCCUUUAAUUACUUUUUUUUUUCUAAUUUUCAUAUUCCUUUAGUUACUUUUUAGUUCUAAUUUUCGUAUUCAAUUUCGUAUUAUAUACGAUGAACCAAAGUACUUUGAUUUUUUUUCUUUUUUUAAUGAACUGCAAUCCAUAGACAUUUACAAUUUAAAAAUUACUGAGAAGUUAAAUUUAUACACUAUAUAGUUCAAAUCAGAAAUCUACCACGGUUAAAAUUUACUGAAAAGUUGAUUUAAAAUUCAAAAUUCGACAGGACACCUACUACACCAAGAGCCCCGUACAUAUAGUAUUAGGAAAGAUCGACAGAUUUUUUAUAUUAAAAUUAAUAUAUGUCACUUAUUCCACAUUGUUUUAGUAAUAUCUAAAAAUCUAUUGACAUAAAAAAAAGGGAAAAGUGGGGCAAAUUAAUCAUUUUCUAAAUAAUUUCUCUUAAAAAUAUAAAAUAUAUUUAUUAAAAUAAAAAUAUGACAAAAAUAUCUUAUUAUUAUUAUUUUUUAUUCACAACAAAAUAUAUAUAUUUUUAUUUUUUAUAAUAAAUAUGAAUAAAAAUAUAUAUUUACAAAUAAAAGUAAUAUUAUAAAAUUACGUUAUCGGAGUUAUUUGACUAUAAUGAGAACAAUAAAGAUUAAGUGGUAAAUAUUAAUUUCAGUAGGGAAAAUUUGAUAAUCUCUCUAACAUUAUUAGUAGUCCAACGUCUCAAACCUUGCAGCAAUAACAAAAAUAAAUAAUUUUCAAAUUUUAAAAAUGUAAUCCGUAAUAAAUUAUGAAGAAAAUGUGCACACUGUAUGAACCAAAACCACACGAAACUUCAUUUGAAAGACUCCCAAGUCCCAAAGCCAAGCCUUUCUAGUUUCUUCUUCUAUGCAUAAAAUACGGACACCGAGUCACUUUUUAUCCCAACAGCGGGUUAAAAGAAAAAGAAAAAAGAAAAGAGAAAAGAAAAUAUAGUUUUAUUUUCUUCUACAGCCGCGUCCCCCCUUCCCCUUCUUUUAUUAACAAGCCAAGCUCACAUUUUCACUUCCACUUUCUCCCAACAAAAACACACACACGGCAAAAACACAAAACCUUUCACAAAGCAAAAGCAAUGAUAGAAGACAGGCCACACGGCGGCCCGCCCCACGGGGUGUUACUGGCAGUGGUCGUCGGCAUCGUGGUGCUGGUUCCGUUCAUCAUCGGCGACUCCGGCGAGGCCAUAACUGAGUUCAUAGCCGAGCUUUUGAGUCCGGUAGGGCUUCUCUUGCUCCCCAUCAUCUUGCUCCUCACGAUCCAAUUCCUCUCCUCCGAUCGCGGCUCCUUCGUCAACAGCAUUUUCUUCACCGGCGAGCCCGACACCAUUCACAGGGUCAGCGGGUCCCCCGUCGGCGUCGCGCUGUUUCUCGUUUUGAUCUUGUUCUUGCUCUACAACCGCGUUUCGAUCUUCGGCGGCGAUGACGACUCCGGUGAUUAGUUUUGUUUUGUUCACUUGGAUCUGUGGGUUUAAAAUGUGGUUUUUAUGUUUCUGUGUUCAUUUUAUGAUGUAUUUAGUUUUUGAUACUACGUAGAAAGUUCAUGGGGGGUUUUAAGGGAAGGGUUCCCUGUAAUUUCACGUAAAUACCCAGGUGUUGAAUGUUAUUUGUAGUAUUGGGAUAUAUUCACGUAAUGGAGACUGAGUUUUCUAAUAUUGAAUGACAUAACUGCCCCUGAUGAAUCCCGAUUUCUCAGUUGCUAAAUGUUUGUCGUGCUAGUGCUAGGGGUAUAAUCGUCUUUUAGAUGUGCAGCGGAGCCACCGUCGCUGACCGGCGUUUAAGUUUAACAAUGGUGCGGCUCUCUUUUCCGGCUUCUUUUCUUUUUGUCGUUUAUAGAGAUUCUUUUUGUGCCAUUUGUAUUAUAAUUAUUGUCUAUUGUACCUCGAUUUCUUUGCACUGGCACGUGGGCACGUGGAGCUCUGUUUCUUUUCAUGUUUUAAACCAUUACUUUGAUGACGUGGUGGCAAGUUUGCACGGUCAAAAGAAGACUAGAAGAGGGUUAGGGUAGCAUUCAAGUCAAGUAUUGAAAGUUCAAAAUCAAUGUACUGGCAAGUCUGGCAUGGAGUCUAAAGUAACUGGCGUGUGGGUGAAAAAGCAGCAGCGCGGUUGAACCUGAACCGUAAAGUGGUAUUACCGUGAAAAACUAGGGGCCCGUGACAAAUUGGCCACAAUCUGAAAUGAAUUUUUAAAUUGUUGUCCCCAUAGUAUUUAUGUAAUCUCAUAAAUAAUUUUUCAACCAAGAUAUCACCAUAUUAAAAUUAUAAAUAAGUUAAAAUUUUAAAAAUAAAAAAUUUUAUAUAUAUACCGCAAUACAACAUUUCAUUGUAAUGUAUAUUUUAUUUUAUAAUAUAUUCAACUUUUUUAUUUUUUAACUUAUCCUAACUUAAAUAUAGUUAGGAAUCAUUGAUUGAAAACUCAUUUCUCAUCAUGUAAUCGGCCAUUGCAUAGACAAACAUCAUAGGUUUUAUAAAAAUUAGAACUGACAAAAUGAGUCAUUAGGUUGUGUUCGUAUUACAUCAAAUUUUAUCUAACGCAAACACGAUCCAUUUAAUAAUUGUGUCCAAAUACUGAAUGCCAAACCCGACACAAAAAAAUAAUCCGAUGAUCCAACACACCUAUUUAAUAAUAAGAUAAACGUGUCAUCCAACAUGAUACAACAAGUAGCUCGCUUAAUACCUAUUUAACACGAUUUAGGUCAAACAUUGCACACCCAUUUUACACAAAUUGCACUCAUUUAUAUCUAAAUAGUAUUAUGUAUUGACAUUAUAAAAUAUACGUGUCUACCAAAAUAUAAUACAUUUAUACUAUGAAAGUUUAAAUAUAUUUUGAAUUUUACAAAAUGAAACACUAUAUAAAUAUUCAUCCUUUACCUAUAAAAAAAAAAUCAUGUCAAAUAUUUGAAUUUUGAUGACAAGAUUCUGCAAAUUAAUUUAGAAUUAAAAACAUAAGUAUAUUUAAAUACAAAUAUCAAUUAGCUUUAGUUGACUAUUUAAAAAUAAUUUCAUCAACCAAGCAAAUAGGUCAAGAAAUUAAAUCUAACCGAAAGGAAAAAAAAUCGUGUUGACUUUCACCACCCAAAUCUAUUUAUUCAUGUCAAGUAAAUAGAUUGUGUCAAAUUUUGCCAAGUUGAAUGAAAAUGAAAGACAUCCUGAACUAAGAGAAAGGAUUUUGUUUAGUUAUAAGCAGUUUAUACAUAACCAUCAGAUAAUUGUAUCAAAAGUUAGUUUAAGUAAACUGCAAGCAAAUUUAAGCUUACUUUAAGUAAACUGCAUGCCUCAUUACCUAAUCAAGGUGCUACCGGCCACCCUGAUUACGGUGAAAGAUCUUAAAGAACAAGAAUGUGCUAUUGAGCGAUCACAAAAUUUCAAUAUUCAUUGGAGGAUAGUAUCCUUCACCGGUUAACAUCUUUGGAUUAUAUAGUUUGCCAAGAUACAUAAAAGGAGCUUAAUGAAUCUAAUGUACUAAUAAGAUCACAAUACUGAGAUAUGACACAGAAUCUCAAUGAGAAGGAAACAAAGGCCCACAAUAAAAUCUAAAAGACUUCCAUCAAUCUAAAUAAAAUGUUGCAGUCUCAUUAUUUUUGCUAAACAUUCUCAGCCUCGUCCUAGGCAUAAAACAGAGAAGCUGUGAACAAAACUGCAGCACACUACCCUAAUCAUCAUAUUAUCCAAAUAGACAUGUAAUGGCAUGAAAUGGGUGUUUGAAAACCCUCAUUACCACUUUGGCAUAUGUUGAAAACCAGUCAGCCAUCAAGGGACCCCUUUGGCAGAGGAGUGUGUGGCUUUUGAGCCUUUUCGGGAAUGAAAAGCAACUGAUAGGCCUGGGUCACCUCUUUGGAACUCAACCCCACAACUUGUCUUAUCUACCAACCAUUUACCCUUGGAUCCAGGCUCAUCGUUCAUAUUUGGUCAAUUAACAUUUCCCAGAUUCUAGUCUUAUUACUCUGUUCAAUCAAGAAACAGUAAGUGUUAAUCCAAACAAUAAGAGUAAAUUUAAAAAAUAAGUUUGUAUUAUCAUGCCAACAAGAAAAGGACAUACAUAGACCCACGCAGUCCAAAGCCUGCUGAAAAUAAGGCAGUACACCAAGGAUUGACACAACACACAGCAGUAACCAAAAUUUCACCAUGUACCCAAUAGUAACUAUCUCUUUGAGAGCUAUGACCUACCUACAUUCUUCAUCAUAUAUCUGAGUUCAACUUUUCAAGUGAUUGUUCAUAUAAGGCAAGGAGAAAAUCAGCCAUUCUACGCUAAUUGAUUUGUUAGUUCUCAUUUGGGAUCAAAAGCAACCUCAUUGUAAGUUAUAGAUUUGCUAUGACCAACAUACAUUCUUCAUCAUAUAAUUGAGUUCAAGUGACCAUUCAUAGCAAAGCCAAGAGAAAAUCCCCAUUCUACAUUAACUGCUAGUUUAUUUCUCAUUUGGAAUCUAAAGAACAACCUUAUUACAAAAAUAGCCUGGUUUUUCUGCCAAGAGAACAAAUGCCAAAGUAAGGCAAUUCAAAAGCUUGUUUUCCCUCUUGCCAAUUGCCUUACAAUAUGGUGAGGGUGGCAUCAGUCUCCAAAUUUAGAGAACAGAUAAACUAGUAUCAACUAAUAAAAUUGGUUAGUUGCACCAAAAAAACUUUAAAACACGUAUUUUGUAUGAAACUAGAAGGAAAAUCAGGUACUGCUUCGCAUCUCCUUCCUACACCAACCGAACACCUACUAUUUGGAUUUAUGGAGAUAUUCAGCAUCAUUGCACUGAGUUCACACAAUAGAAUUAUAUAUGCAAAGGAUCUUACCUUCAUGCUAGUCCAGAUUUUCUAGUUUAUUACAAUGAGGUGUUGGCAGAUUCUUAUUCCAACGACGCUUCUGGAGCUCUACAUGGCAAUACCGCCAAAGCAAAUUUCUGUAAUCCUUGAUCACAUUGUCCUCAAUAACAGCACGAGCAGAACUACCAUGAGGAAAGUUCUCAUCAAAUGAUGAUGGUGAUUUGACAUAAAAUUCUAUUCCAUGCUUUUCAGUUGUCCUAGGAAUCUGAUAAUUAAAAUUCCGAUGCAAAGAGUAGUCUGGCUCAGAAUAGGGAAGGUAAGCAAGCAAGAAUAUCAACAAAAAUGGCAAUAUCUGAAGAAGGAACACAAAAUUAAGUCCAGCUCCAUGAAACUCCUCCCUCUCUUGGCUUCUCAUCCCUCUAGUUCUAUAAACACGAGUUGUUCGAAACAUAUCUUGUUGACCAAAGAAUGACCUGAAUAUCUCAUCAGGAUCUAAUUCAUCAUCAAAAAAGUCAUGCUGAGCUCUUCUCCUCCUUGGCCUAACGUUAUGCCGCUGGUUAUGCUCAAAUUCAUCAACCAAACCUACAUGAUCAUAAUGCCUUCUUGAAUCAUCAUCACUCAAGCACUUAAAUGCCUUGCACACUUUCUUAAACGCUUCUUCCGAACCAGGAGCCUUAUUCUUAUCUGGGUGAACUUUCAAAGAGAGUUUCCUAUAUGCCUUCCUAAUCUCCUCAACCGAACAACUUCUCUCCACACCAAGAAUCGCAUAAUAGUCCUUGUUCCUCUUAAUCUGCCUAAUCAACUCAACAUGUUCUUCCGUAUAACUCCUCUCCCCACUCAAACCCUCACCAAGUUUCUCCAAACCAGGCUUACUCCUUUGAUCAUCUAACCGCUUCUCAUCAGCAGAAGACACAUUUGGCCCGGAGUCACCCACACCAAGCUUCUCACAAGCAGCCAAAACCUCAUGAACAGACAAAUUAUCGUUCAGCCGUUGCGCAAUUUUGAUAAAUUUCAACGCCCGUUGUCUUUUACCGGACGCAAUCGCUUCUUCAGCGAUACGAAUGCAUCUCAAAGCCUCAUCUUUGUUACCAUCCAUAAUUCACCCAGUGCUUGCUUCAAGACAUUCCAAUCAAUUACUCAGUUCUAUCAGAAUUAAAGGUAAAGCAAAAUUAAUACUUCAUAUUUUUAAAAUAUUAUGCGAAUAUAUUAAUAGAACGAUAAUACAAUAAAUCCAAGCAUGUAAUUUCGAGAAUUUAGGUUAAUGAUAAAUAGAAUUAGCAUGAGAUUAAGACAAUUCAAUAACAGAAAUGAGAUUUACCUGAUACAGAUAUCGAAUCGAAGUGUCGUAACAGAGAGAGGAUUCAGGAGAAGCGGAGCGCAAGGAGAUGCGACGCGAAUUAUGUAUUUGGUUGGUAUGCCACGUCAUCAGCGAUUUUGGUCAUGCUUCAAAUAGGAGCAUGCCACGUCAGAGUGCGAACCGGUUAAAUCGUCUCUUCAGUAUUGUUCUUGGAUUUGACUAAAUUAUGCAAACAUCAUUUUCCAAUAACUGGACUAAUCCGAAAAAGGAAAAGUAUACUAAAAAAUAUUUAUUUUUCUACAAUUGUUAUUUUCAGUAAUUUACAGAAAUCGUCGGCAUAAGAGUUCAUUGAAAGAAAUAAUUUUUUUUUUCUUACUUUAAUAGCUUAGGAGGAUCAUUUUGAAUAAUAAUUCGAGGGAAAAUGGUAGGCCAAGUUGAUGCAAAUCAAUCACAGUUCAACGUAUAUAUGAUCCAAAAUUGUUUAUUAAAAUUAUUAAUGAAUCAGAAAUGUGUCCUACUGUCUAAUUAACAACAAUUAGAGUUUUAAAACAUUACAUUUUUUGGUUUUUAAAAUCCAGUAACUUAACACAUUAUACAUGUGUCAGUGUUAGUAUAUACACAACACGAGCGCAUUUAGUUAGGCUUAUGCCCAGAUAUGAAAAUAAAAAUAAAAACAAAAUUUACAAAGACAUCAGUUGUCAUCAUCUGAAUCAAAAGCCUUUCUACUUCUCAAAGAUUCCAAGAUAUCUAAAGGCCGAUCAUUUCGAGCAUGGCUUCCUCCUUGGGUAGUCUUGAGUUUAGGCACACUCAUGGAACUGAGUGGUGGUGUGUUUGUGUGAGCUUCCUUGAGCACAGACCGAGCAGUGGCUGCUGCAGCAGCUUGAGCUGCAUGAUCUGUCUUGGCUGAUUCGUACUUCUGCAUAUCAUAAAUGAGUUCUUUUUGAAGCAGUUUAUCAGCAACCAAUAUGUCAUCAAUCUCAUUUUUGUAGUCUUUGAGGAUAAUUCUCAGGCAUUCCAUUAGUGAGCCUGUGAGGGGACUGUUCUUGCUCUCUAGUAGUCUUUUAAGUUCUAUGAAGAUGGGGAUGGUGUUUUGGAUUAGCCCUUUUCUUACUGCUUGUGUAAUAGCUCUUCCUUUAGCAGCAGCUGCUGAUGCUCCAGCUUCUCCAGCUUCUUCCUCUAUUUCUGCAGUCGCAGAUGCUGACCCUCGGGCGGGAGUAAUCCGAAUCUCUUUGCAGGCAAGAAUUUGGAAAGCAUCCUGCUUGGAAACAGGACAUAAACACUUGCUUUCAUUUUGUUACAUAACAUUUGCUUACUUGCAGUUUAUGACUGUACAAGGGAUUAGUACCUGUAGAACGGAUUGCCCAGUAACAUCUUCAAUAUUGAGCAUGCCAUCCGAGACUGAAGCAAGAAUCUCUGCACAUAACUUUGCAAAUGUGGCUAAAAGGUGCUCUGGAGCCAUUUGCUUCAGCAAAGAGACAUAGAUGUGCAUUCUUUUAGACCUGGACCGUUCAUCAUUUCCCCUGAAAAGAAUGAUACAUGCAUGGUAACGACUGAGCAUCUCAGCAGCAGAGCUACCUAGUUGCUAAAUAUAAUGACAUCUACCUGAUGGAAAACAAUUGACGUUCAGUUCGUGAACCCUUGGAAUCAUUGUGACCGGCAUGGGCAUGGCAAUCAUUCAGGACAAAAAUGGCUUCCACAAAACUGUUGUAAGCUAGAAGUGGAGCCUUGGCUGCAAUCACGUUGUACACAAUGAUCAGAGCCCAGAUAACAUACAUCAACAAUCUCUAUGACAGAGCGAAUCUGAUAUGUCGAGAAUAUAACCUUUUAGGAUGUUCCCAAAUAGAAAAUCAGCAAGUUGUCUUAUCUUUUCUGAUUCAUCAACCAACGACAAAAGAAAACGAAGGAAUAGCACCCCCCUCCAUUUCACAUAGUCCCUCUGAACAUGAAAAUUUUACAAUAAUUAGAAAAGUUUUCUGUAUUCUUAUUGAUCUUCAAAUGGAAAUGUGAGAAUAAUAACCAAACGAAAUAACAGAAAUUUACCUGUAACAAUCUUGAAAGCAGAAUAAAUGUCUGCCUUCUUACUAGUUCACAUGGAUCACGGAGACACAGAGAGAUCUUCGCCAUGUAGCUGUCAACUUCAAGAAUUACUAAUCAGAAUAGCACAGAGAUUAUUAUACUCUUUCUAAAAAAUUUAACCAAUCCUCAAUAGUUUAAAUAUCAGCACAGUUCUUUUCUAUUAACUUUCUACAGGCCUCACCAAUCAACCAGAGCAGUAUAGCGAACACAAAAAUCUGCCAUCAUUACUACAAGAUUAUUGCGAAGGGCUGCACAAUCACUCUUUUCAAGCUCCUACAAGAACACGUGAAUAGUAAGCAUUUUAAAUAUAGUGUCGAAUUUGUGGUUUAAGAAAUUGAGUAUCGUUUUUAUGAGUUGUUUAUGAGAGUCAUCUAAGACUUGGAUAAAUGCAAUGAUAAGAUGAUGAAAAAACCUUCACAAACAACGGAAUAUAUCUCUUUGCGAGUUUGUCAUCUGCCAGGCAUAACUUCCCCAUUGUCAACCAUGCUUGAAUAUAAAAUGAAGGAGCAAUCUGUUUCAGAGAGACUGUAGGCCCUGGUAAUUUAUUCAACUUUGGAUCAGAACUUCCCGAAGCUAUGAUUGUGUGUAAUAGUGGAGUAAUGGAGCUCAAAUCAACAGUGGGACAAACAAUAAUCAAAGAGCCAAUAGUAUAAACUGCAGUGACUGCUUCUGACAAUGAUCUCGAUAACGCCACUGCUUUCUUGCCCCUUCUGUUGCUUCUAGGUGGUGUAAAGAAACUAUUACCAUUAUUGGCUUCUGAAAUGUUUGAAAUGUACUUUUCUAAAAUUAGUGAAGCUUUCGAGAGAAUCUGUUUUACCCAUUUCAAAACAAGCAUAUCAGCUUCCUCAUGAUUUGAAGCCUUUCGUUUGCAUAAUGUUCUAAGAGCUUUUACAUGAGCGUUAACCUGCCAUAAAAGAUUCUUAUGUGUAAAUUGGUCAAAUACACAAACUAAGCACAGGAGAAAACAAUAUAUCCCAUUACUUGGCUGGCCCUAUGAAAGUAGCACUAUGACCAUCAAGCCAUGCUAGUGGCAAUAUAGUAUAUAACUCAAUACUAGAGCUAAUAGAUAAUAAAACUAGAGAAGCAAAGCUGCUCCUAUCACCCGGUCAAAGUACCAAAAUAGUUUAUACCUCUGUUGGAUGCAUGUUGAAUCCUUCAAUCUGCUUAAGCAAGUUAUGAGCUAAAUCAGCAGCAGGUUCAGGGGGCAGCUCCACAGAAACAUUGGAGAUUGUUUGAAGGAGAUAAACACGAUCGCCAGCCCAUGAAACAGAAUUGGAUACUAUCCCCUCUGUAUCUUCAUGGUCAUAUCUUGGUGCAAGUGGGCUUUUAAAGUCACCUUGUGAUCCAUACUUGUCAAGUAGCUGCCAAUGGUGAUGAAGGAAUUCCCAGUCCACUGCUUUUGGAAGAUAUGCUGACACCUCUGAUAGAAGGAGCCAAGCACCCGGUGGUGCUGUCCACCUUUUGAUUGACACGUGAUGGCUCAACCAGAUAGCUUCAGAUGAUCUUAUAAUAUUCUGAAGUGCAAGUGCAAUAUUGGGCUUCAGUCUUUUCUUCUUCCCCAGGCUGGUGCAGAUUUUCUUCACCCAAGGCGACACCUCUCCAUUACAGAUCUCUUUCAAAAGAGGCAAAACCCCUUCAGGGACUUCUAAACUUUUCCCUUUCACAUUCAAGUUGUAUUGAAUGGAUCCAGCAGCUGCAGAUCUUGAUAUCCGGUCCAAUACCAGCUCAAGGAACAGGUUCUCACAUUCUUCUUGAAUGCUAGACUCAUUGUCAGUUAUUAAACGGGGAAUGGAAUGAAGCCACUCAACCGUAAGACUUUCAUCAGAAAAUGUUCUGAAUGCCUACAAAGUCAAUAAGGAUCUAGAAUGAGAUUUAGAGAUAUAUAUUAGAAGACGUGAGAAAGAAAAGAGAAACCUUUUAGCUGGAUAAGAAAACCAUGGAAACUCAUCGAGAAGAGCUGUUUCAGCGGAUCUUAAAUAAUACUAAUCAUGCCGUUUUCAAAAAUAAAAUAUUACUAUUAACCAACAAACAAAACCACUUGUUUCAGAAAAAAAAAUAAUAUUAGUAAUCUACCUGUUUAAAGAAAGGGUUAAAUGAUUGAAAAACAAGACGUGGAAAAGAUGAGGGAAACUCCCAAAAUAAUAAUAAUAAUAACAAUAAUAACAACUUGAAAAAGCCAGAGCUGAGAAUUGCAAGUAGUUGUAGAUAAUCAUGAUCUACUCAGCUUUUACAAGGCAUCAGAAGCCAAUACCAUCUCAUAUAUACACCUUUCUAUUGGACAACUAAGCAAAAUUACUUAAAUGAGGAAACUUUAAAUUUACAUAAAGCUAAACAAAAGACUAACCUCUGAAAGAGCAGAAAUUGCUGCUUUCCUAAUGCUAACAAGUGGAUCAGAACAAGACAUGCCAAUUGUCUUGAGCAAAAUCCCAUCAACAGAGCCAUCAAAAAGACCUAUCAACUUGCUAACUAGAAGAAGUGCUGCCUUUUUAACAAUUGCCUUCUCAUCCAUACAUCUUUUCUUUAAAAGGUCAUUCAUUUGACCGUCUCCAAACUUCAGUAGUUUCUUCAAAAUCACCCUAUUCCUAUCAUCACUUGACAAAAACCCCACCAACUGCGCCAAAUUUGACAAAGCUCGAGCUCGAAUUACAGCACUAGAAUCUGAGCAACGCUCAAUUAAAGCCUCCAAACAACUCAAACCCCAGGAGUGACUAUCUUCACAGUCCAGCUCCACUCCCAAUGGAUCUCUCAUCGACGUCAUUAGCAUUAAUAUCAGAUCAACUGCAACUAGCCUAAGAUUAGCCUUACCUUUAGUCAGCUUAACAGUAUAUUCAACAAACCCCAUUUGAUCCUCAAGCUCCAUUGCUUUAACAAUCUCCAUAAUUGCCUCCACAGCUAAUCCCCUCAGCUCAGCCUUCUCCGGGGCCUUGUUCACCAAGUACUUCGGCAAAUUCACAACUGCCUUCCUGACCCCGUCGCUCUCUUUAGACACACCCAUCACUCCAUUCAUCAAAAAUCCUAAUGCAAAACUCCUCGCUUGACAUUUGCCCAUCAAAAUCAAUGGCACUAACGACUUCAAAACCUCUGCAGCUGUACUCAUCACAUCACCAUGCUCCCCCCUCAACAACUUAAUCAAAAUCCCUGAACACAAAACAUUUAAUUUCUCAUAACCUCCCAAUUCAAGCAAUGAAACCGGAAUCUCAACAACAGUCUGUAUCAAAGACUUCAAACAAUCCGGAAACCUAUUCAAAUAAACCAACUCCACAACAAAUUCCAACUUCUCAACAACCAAACACAAACUCCUAGCAUCAAAUCCACCCUCGCUCUCAUCCUCGUUAAAUUCAUUCGCCCGCUGAACCCGCCUGCCACCACCUUUUCUUUUGUGGUUAACACUAGGGUGGGACCCGCUAUCAGACACGUGCUUAAAACUCUUGAGGGAGCUGCGAAUGGAGCGGAGAAGGGAGAGGAACGCCAUGGGAGUGAACAGAGUGAAGACAGGGGAGUUCGGGGAGAGAAGCAAUGAAAGGUAAAUUUUGGAGGCCAAGAGGGAGAGAUUGUUGGGGCCCACAUCCAUGGCGCAGGAAAUUGGAGGAAUGAGAGAGGAUAAAGAGAGUUUUUUGGAGGAGAGUUGAUCGGUGAAUCGGUAAAGGGUGUCUGGGUCAUUUGAUUGUAAGAGGGAUUCGAGUUCGAGGAGAGUGGAAUGAGAAAUGGGUGUCGUUUGAUUUUGACUUAGGGUUUCUUCGAAAUCAGUGAUGAUUCUUGCUAUGAUUGCUUCUUCUUCUUCUGCCAUUGUUGUGGGUGUUGUUUGGAUUUGGCAAACUGGUUGGGAGACGGGGGAUUCUGCUAUUAACAAAAUGUUUCGAAUUUUGGGUUUUCCCGCCUAAACGGUGGAUUUUGACUAUCUGAAGACCAAAAACGCCGUCGUACUUAAAAAGUGACUUCGGGUCAGGGGACAGGCGUAUUCCCCGCCCCCAAAUAUCGAAAAUUUGACAAAUUGAACCCAAUAUUUCAGGACUAUCCAACUAGACCCCUCCACUACUAUCCUUUUACAUUCGGUCCACCCUGAAAGUUGACACCAUCGGAACUUUUAGAUCUCCUCGAGGAGAUUGGUAGUCUAGCAAGUAGCUACCGAGCAAGCAACAGGGGAUUACUAACAGAAAUUACUGAUGGAGGUUCUCUUGGGUAUUUUAGAAAACCACACUGGCAGCUGCUGCCACAGUGUCUAUUCACUACCUGUAAAAUAAAGAAAAUGAUCAAAGAACUGAAUCUCCCCAAGUAGUAUGAGAUCCACACACAAAUCUAUGUGUCAAAUUCAACUAUUUCAUCCGAGAAUCCAGCUAUUGCUAGCCAGGCAGCAGAUUUUCCAGAAAAAUAAAAAUUAAACACACCCCCAAGCAAAGAUCAAAUUUAUCUAAUAAGUUUAGAGAGCUUGUGCAUAAACCAAAUUAAUCACAAAGUCAUAAAUGCAACUGAUAAAUGGUCCCAGUUUGCCAGGGCCAAAAACAAACUCCAGGCCCUCAUUAUAUCAAGCAAAAUAGCAAUGUUUUUGCAGCUGCUGUUCAAUUAUUCAAGCACCUCAGCCUGCGGGUUCAAUUAUUGAAGGAUAUAGUUUGGUUUCAUGGAAUAUUAAAAACAUGCUUAUACUGCAUGAUUUUCAGCCAGCUGCAUGAUAUGCCAGGCACCUAAUUAUGAGGAGCCCGAAGAGGACCCACGUCAUCUGGGAAAAUUUGGAAAGGUGCAAUUUCUUCCUCAUAAUGGCAAUGGACCAGAUUUGCUGCCUCUGGCUCCUGGUUGUUCUGAAUGGAAAAACUCAAGAAAGAAUCACCAUGAACUGCUGCUGCAUGGUAAUUAUGAAUGGUUGAAGUCGAGGCAGGCACAUGGUGAACAACCUGAAGUGGUGGUGAUGGUACGUGCUCUGCUGGAAGCCAGCCCAACAAGCCAUUAGAUCUCCUCCUGCCAGAUGAAAAGUUACCACAACUCUAGGUGAUUGAAUUACUUGGGCAAUAAAUUGCAUGCAUCAAUAAAUCAUUAUAAUUGAUUAUUUAUGCUAUUACUGGAAAACCAAGUGAAGAAUCAGCAGAACUACAACACCAAGAUUAAAUAGAUAAGGUGUAUGCAAGGAUGCAAUAAGACAUGACAAGAAACAUUGAAGGAAAGGCAUACUGCAGAUUUUUACAAAUGGAGGAAUUUUUCAUCUUUAUAUGGACCUCCAUAGAGAUUAUCAGAAGAUUGAAUACCUUAUAGUCUAAUCCUAGUUAAGGAUAAGGGCAUUAAAAACCAAUGUCAAGCAUGAUCAAAGCAGUUAAACUUCCAUUAUUUUACAUUUUCGGUUAACAUAAAAAUCAGGGAAUAACAGUCUGAAUGUCUGAUAUAAAAAUGGAAUUAAAUAUCACCAUCAGGAACUUGGUGGAUCAGUUUAAUGGCAAUUUCCAAAUUUUACUUGCAAGGUUGUACAGAAUCUAGUGAAACUUACCUGGGUUGAAGAAUAGCCCUAUGACCAACGGACACAAAAUUUCGCAGACCACCAGCACCAUACUGGGCAGCUCUCUGAGCAGCUGAUGCAACAAAAGGCUGGUUGGCACCAAUAAAAUUGCCACACAUCGGAGUGAAAACAGCUCGAUGGAUUGGUUCGUGACCAUGAAAGAUAACUCGAGAAGUAGAAAUCUCACUGAUCAUGGGUGGACCAUACAGGUGAUGAUUGGCAGUAAAAAUGGGACAAUCACGAUCUGCAUCGACGGAAAGUAAAUGUUUAUUACAGUGUCAUAACAAGUGAACCAUCCAAUUUCAUGAUCACCAGCAUAGCGGAAAAGAAAAAGAUCCCAACAACUUACGGCCCAGUAAUGGAAACUCUGUUACCCUGCAAGAUUCCCAAAAAAGAAAAAAAAAACACAAUUGAGACAGAGGAGCCAUAACAAACAUGGUAUGAGGGUCCAGGAUCGGGGCAUCAGUGAUUCAUAGAUGACAUAAUAUGCUUACCGUUGAAAAUCAGGACCCCAGUCAUUAUUUCCAACACAUUGCUGAGGUAUCUGUAAACAAAAUCACACCACGAGAAACAAAAAGCAAACACCAAUUAUCAGUCAAAGGCACAAACAAUGACACAUAGACCUCUUCAUUCAUGCACACAAAGAAUUAGAUAUAUAUCAAGAAAGAGAAAGGGGGAAAGAGAUAUCUUAUAUGUUACUAAAAACAGCAGUAUAUCUUGGGAGAAAGUCUUGCAAAUAAAUAUAGUAGAUCUGUGAAAGUGACAUACAGUAGUAUAGUAGCACUUUGAUACCUAUAGCAGAAUGAGGAAAUAUAUAAAGCCACAAUAAUCACAUAAUAAAUGUUUUAUUUUUAUUUUUUUGGGUAAAUUUUGACAUCAAGAGAAUAACCUCAUGAUCAAGAGGGAUAAAGUCUGAUCACCAGAGACAACCCUAAAUAAUUACGUAGCAAGAUGGAGAUAGGAGGCCCUAAAUGAUCACUCAGUAAUAAAAUGAGGUAAGGGUAUGGAUAUGAUCAAGAGGUUUGGCUAGAAUCAGUUAUCUCUUAAUGAAGGUAUAGUGUUCAGAUCAGGUGCAACUGAGCUGAAGGGGGGACGGUCUGAAAGGGAUCUACUAAAGACAAGUCACUUUCUAAUCAAUGCUCAGAGUUUCUUGCUC
rnacentral:lncRNA from 1 species